rnacentral:lncRNA from 1 species
UAUUCAAAGCUGGAACAUUCUUGCACAUCAAUGGAGUCACAAAGUUCAAACAAUUCUGUUCGAUCAAGCACAUUUUAUGAGCCUGCUUGGAGGAAUACAAUCAAUGGCAAGCUCAUUAGGUUCUCAAACAAGAUAUGCAAAUGCUAUAUGAGAGCUGAUUUGAAGAUUUCAGAAUCCGAUGACAAUCCACAUAUGCUUUACUACCGUUGUGCCAAAAAAAAUGGUUGUGGAUAUUUUAAGUGGUGGGCACCAAAUAGAGAUGAUUUUAACAAUGGAGCUUUAUUUGAAGGAUGUGUGUCAACAGAUGUAUGUUAUGCGGUACUAUCUAGAAUUGAAAAUGACGUGAAGACAAUGAAGACCAUAGUGGAGAAAUCACGAAAAUCUACGAAGGUUGCAACUGUUGCUAAGGUUAUGGUAGUAUUCAAUGUGUUAUUUUUUCUUUUCAAUGUUGCGAUGUACCUUAUGUAGUGUGUCACCAAGUCUAAUGCUUUCUAAACUAAAUGUUCCAGUGAUGACUAAAAUUUUUUUUGUUGCUUUAUAACUCAAAUGCAAUAGUGUUUUCUAAGUGAAAUAUAUUUAUAACUCUAAUUUGUAAUGAAACACAAAGUCAAUCAUGCCACUCAUAUAUUUAAAAAAAAAAAAACUAACUGAGUUGACCUAUUAUCAGCAUCCAAAUGUGUUCGAGCAAAAAAUAAAUUGUAACUACAAAGUAAACAAUAACAAUUUCUGAGCAUCUGUCAAAGACCAUUCACACAUCUAAUUAUGUGAUAUUCCAAUAUCACUUGUAACCAAUCCAUCAACAAAUAAAACUGAACUUAAAAACAUCAAGCAACCAAAUGUAGUAAUAUGAUAUUUCAAUAUUAAUAAAAUCCAGCAACAACACAAGUGUUAACUGUCACUAAUGGCUGUGAAACAAUCAGCCAAUACAACAUCAACAGCAGCCCAUAUUUACAAAAAAAUCAACUUUCAACAGUUUGUUAAGUUUUGACUUAACUGAAAUGCUUUGUUAAUGGUGUGAGUAUUUUCACUAUCACACAGUUCACAAAAAAAGAACAAAAAGAUGAUACAAUAUCUAUACAAUUUAAAGCUUAUACAGGUAAGGUAAAGUAUCAUCUCAUCCUUCCAAAAAAUUUGUAGUCUGGGAUUAGUCUGGGCUCUGUCAUUACUAUACAAAAAAAUUUCUUACCACCAAAGCUGUUGCUGCAGGAUUUAUCAUCUACAAGCUCUCUAUGAUUGGGUUAAUUGUCCUUCAAUAAUAAAAAUUUGUAUUAGUAAGUAUGAAAUAGUUUAUAAACAAAUAAAUUAAGAAAAGUGAGUUGCUGAAUCAGUAAAUUCAAACCAUCAUCAUGGACAAAUUCUUGCGUUCCAGAUUCAAUGACAGCUGCUGCCUCAAGUUGAUUCUGGGCUCCUGAGCUCUGUCCUUUUUCAUUAUUGAUCCCCGAUCCAUUUCCCUUGAGUUGAAGUGUAAACAAAUCAUGAGAUUAUUAAACAGAUAUAUAAGUUGGAAAUUUAAAUAAAGAGAACUUCAAAACUUAUAAUUACACAAAGUAACCUGUGUUGACUUUAAAUUUUUCUUCUUUGUCAUUUUUUUUGAACCCUUAUCAACUUUGCAUGUCCUCACAUUAUGCCCCCACUCUUCGCAAUUACUGCACCUAACACUGGAACUCCUCUUGAAUGCCCUGUUUUCAUCCGCCUCUCUUCUCCUUUUCGUUUGAGGCCUGCCAGCAGUUCUAAUGAUUAUAGGUGGAAGCAUGUUAUCAUGCAAUUCAGGAGGCCACCUACUUUCAUCAGGCACUGGAUAGUACUGAUGCUUAUAAGUCUUCUUCAAUGCUUCAUUCUUCAAUAAAGGAUGCACAAAAUCAUUGACGUUGUACCUCAUAGCAUCAAUGCAACAUAGUGCAUGAGCACAAGGCAAACCAGACAAUUGCCACUCCAUACAAUCACACUCCUUAGCCUUUAAAUUGACAACUUUUCUUUUGGAAACAUCCUCCAUAACUUCAAAGGUAUCAUUAUGCCCAAAUAUAACUGACAUGGACCUGGACUUCACCCUUCCAUCUAGUAUUCUCCUCCUAACUUGUGGUGGCACUUCAUCUUGACACAUGAUAGCCUGCUCAUACCUUCUAUGAAUCAGAUUCAUCACCUUUCUUCUUAUCUCUUCUACCAUCCUAACAAUAGGCAAUCCCCUAAAAUUAUUGAUCCAGUUGUUGAAUGACUCUGACAUGUUGUUAGUCACAUGGGAGCAUUUUGUGUGCGUUGGAAAUUUAUGCUUAGCCCAGCAACAAACUGGAAUCUGCAUCAGCCAAUCAUGUGCUGCAGAAUGAAUAUUAUUCAACUCAGACAUGUGAGUGUUGAAGUCUGCUAGGUUUGAACUUCUACAAGCUUUCCAGAAUGAAUUACGUAAUAGUACACCAGGAAAUUUCUGCUUGAAGUUAGCAUAUAUAUGCCUACAACAAUACCUUUUUAAAGAUUCAGGAAACACUAUCUCCAAAGCAUUUAAAAUUCCCUUUUGCCUAUCACUCAUAAAACACAACCCACUACCAUCAUUACAGCCUAUCUGCUCAUAUAAUUUAUUCAUAAAGUACACCCAAGAGUUAGUAUUUUCACUCUCAACAACACACAUUGCUAGUGGAUAGAUACCAUUAUUAGCAUCUAUACUAACUGCAGACAACAAUACACCUUUAUAUAACCCCUUUAGAUGACAACCAUCAAGCCCUAUAAACUGUCUACACCCUUCAAAGAACCCCCUCCUAUUUGCAUCAAACAUAACAAAGAACCUUUUAAAAUGAGGGUUCUGCCCACCACCUAACCAAUCUCUAUCUAUAGUUACAGUUGAACCAGGAUUAGAGAUGAGAAUUGCAUGCAUAUACCUGUAUAGUUUAGUAUAGCUGGCCUUAUGGUCCUGCCCUAACAGCUCCAAUGCCUUGUUCUUAGCCCUAUACAACCGCUGAUUACUGCAUUUGAUACCAAAUCUCCUAAGUAGCUCACUUGCUAUUACUUCAAUGUUUAGCUGAGGGUUGGCUCUAAAUAGAUGAAGAAAUGUUGCAGCAAUCCAAGUUGAAUUUGCUUCGUAGUUAUCACUACCUCUAGCACAAAUGUGUUCAGGCCGGAAUGUUUUGAUUUGAAAGUGUUUACCAUUCCAAUUUGGACUUGCGUGAACCCUCCAAGUACAACCUACUGCUGCACAUGCCAGUGUGACUCUACUCUUUUCAUUUUUUACCCUUUUCAGCCUAAAACCAUUUUGUAUCGCAAAAACUUUCACCACAUUCCUAAACUCAUCCACGUUCUUAUACACUGCUCCAACCCUCAACAUAAUCCGUUCCCCAUCUAUAUUGAACUCAAAACCCCCUGAAUUGGCCUCAUAUCUAUUACAUGCAUCAUGAACUUCAUCAUCUGACAACAUAUCUGAGUUUGAACCACUAUCGUCUGCUGAUUCGUAGUCAUCUAAACCAGCAUCCCAAGUAUUAUUAUUUCCAGCAUCAUCCCCACUAUCACUGUCCACCAUUUCUUCACACCCUACACAGUUAUCAAUAGUUAUAUUCUUGGCUGACCCAUCUCGUACAAUCUCAAUUGGCUGCCGCUUUUUGAAUGAAUCUUCUACAAUAACACUACUGCUCUCAAAUUCUGAAGUUAUUACGGCUUCAUUCAAGUCAGGCACUAUAAUUUCAUUCACUUCAGCAAGGUCAAACCACUCAAAUUCAGCCUCUUUAUCCAAUGAAACAGGGAAUUGCUCAACUGGGGAUCUGAAACCAUAAUCUCGUUACUAAAUGUUCGAAACAAGUUAAAAAAAAAAAGAAAUAGAACUACAAGCACAUUGGAGCCCAAGCACUAAUCUAACUGACCAGAAAUGGAAAAUGGAAAAACUUAUGAACCACAAUGGCUUCAUCAAAAACUUAAAAUCGACUAUAAAUAAGAACAUAAACCAAAAAACAUAAUGAAAUAGGAACUUGACCUGGAAAAACACGGCUUCACCAUGCUGGCAUUUUACACAACGAACAGCUUUAAUUCGAGGAAGAGUUGGAUCCGCAGCCACAUCCUGCAAAACUUGAGUGCGCUCACCGACAAAGUGAUUUACCUCAUUCCUAUAGAAGCAGUUAUUGUCAGCAAACUCCUGCAAAGAAUUGGAAAGCCAUACAAAUUAGGGGAAAAAAAACACACCAGCAAAACCCUCCUAUUACUUACAGUCAAUAAUGAGCAGAUUACUUGUAGCACCGCCCAUAAUUAAAUUUAUCAAAGAACAUACAGCAUUUGGAAAUAUAUUAAAAUUAUAUUAAAAUUGUGCAGUUAAUGUUGAAUGACUACUUGGCACCUACCAUUGACCAAAUUAACAAAAUGAAUAAAAAAGGUAAAAAUAAAUAGAAAAAAAUUUAGAAAACUUUGAAAACUCCCCACAGAAGGAAACACUUUCCCAAACAAGAUUGAUAUUAGACAACAACAAUCAACAGAUAUCGGGUUAAAUUGCCCAUUUUCUGAACGUGCAAUAAAAAAUAUCCUUUUGACAUUAAUAUAAACCAAAGCAUGCAACCACAUAUUGAACUUUUUAAAACACUCUGCUAAGUCACCAACUAAAUAAAAAUAGAGCAACAUAAAAGUAUUAGGGUUUCGUAAUAUUGAUGGGUUCAACACUAAUUAAAAUAAAAAAGAAGAGAAAAUUAGAGAACAAAUAAAAAAGAGAAGUUGCCUGGUGAUCGCAGUUGCGGUAAGCAUAAAGGAGGAUAUUUUGAUCUUUGUCUUCUUAUGGCACUCUUUCUCUACUAAAGCAUAACAGAGAUGGAGAAAAUGGGUGGAAUUUUGUUCUCGGUAGUGUUGGAGUGUUGGUUUGAGCUAAGCAGGGAGAUGUCCAUUUCUCUUUCUUUUUGGGUGGAUUGAUAAUAUCUUGUGGUUAAAUGCUUGCUUUUGGUUUUUACUCAAUGGAUAUAAACGAACAUCAAAUCUCUUUUUUGGUGGAAUGGUAAUAUUUUUUGGUUAAAUGCUUGAUUCGAUUUUAAACCCAAUGGAUUUAAACAAAUUUCAAAUCAUUCUCAGAAUCCAAUGUGAUAAUUUAAAGUUUGUUAGAAUUUUUUAUUAUUAAUGAGUUCUAUUACCAUUUUAUCCUCACCAACUCAAAUUAUACUAAAUGGUAUACUAACGUCAGGGGAGGUGGCUGAUAAUACGCGAAUACAAUCUCUCAAACUAAGAAUACGCGAAACCUCAGGGGAGGUUUCUGAUAAUAACCCUUUUAUUUUUCUAAAAGCACUUUUCAAAAGUUGUGUGUGGAAGAACCAGCUUUUGCGCAUAGGAAAAAGGUUUCGUUUUUUUGGGCUUCGUUUCUAGCUAACGAGAGAUACACUUUGGGUGUUUGGUCCACCAUUUGGCCCAAUUUAUGUAAGGUCUCUAUCUUUUCGGUGCAUUACAUGCACGUGGCAGGCACGUUGUAAUGGUUUUCUUUUUUUUUUUUCCUCUUUUAGCCAAAAGGUGAUGGUGUUAAACUUAAAAUUGUGUUUAAAUUUAUAUAUUUGAAUUUCCCCGUUUAACAAAAUAAGAAACCAGCAGUAGAUUCCAUUUGCGCUAUAUAUGUAUGUACACACACACACACACACACACAAAAGCUAUUAUACUGAUUGAGUGCAACUCUGCUUGCUUCCAUUACCAUCAAUUGUAUUUUGCACAUGAUCCCAAAUAUAAGCUGUCUUUGCUGAACUAGACAUGUAUGUUGAUAUUGCUCACCUUUUUUGACGCACAUAGCCACAUACACACACAAAUUCAGAAAAUGAUAACCAUAGAAACUACAUUAAGUAUGAUAUAAACCCUAGAUUGGUAUUGAGAUUGGAGAAAUUAUUGGGCAUGGAAUGCAUAUGUAAUCCAAUCUGGCUUAUCCUAUCUUUAAUAAUUCCAGCUCUCUUCGGGGCCCAUGUGUUGGAGACCAAAACUCCCAGUCUCAUUGACCAGCGUCCCAAAAAUCCUAAGAGACUAAGUGAUGAUGAUGUGCAUUAUCAUAUGAUAUCAUGAUGGUACUGAAAAAGAUCACUUAUCCACUCAUCAUUUUCAUUUUACUCUACCUUCCAAGCAUAUAGAAACAAGCAAAACCCGGAAGACACCCCUGCUGCAUUAUCAUCAUCAUUCUCUGCAGAUGAUGGAUCAUGACUGCAGAAUUCGGCCAACUUUGCUGCUGAUGAUUCCGGAGACGAAGGAGUUGAUUUUGAUGCUGAUGAUGAUGUAACUGCAACUGGCUUGAAAAUGAACAAACCAUGCCUUGGACCAGACCCAAAUAGCCAGUCAUGAACAUCCCAAUAAACUUCAACUCUAGUUUUGCUUAUAUUGAUAAACUCAUUGCCUCUGAACUUCCAAUGCAGAUGCCUAACAUGCACCGCUCUCUUCCCAUCAACUCUUAUUUCCAAUUCAGGAUCAAACCCACCUAGAUUGCUGUCACAAUUGAUGUUAUUAUUACACUCAACUGAGAUAUCAUGUAGUGGUGCCUUCUCUUGAAACUUAACUCUUGUAGAGAAUUUCUUCUUACCAAACACAUGUUCCUUUCUUGAAACCAACGUAGGUUCAAUAAGAGAAGGCCUGCAACCUGUCUUUCUAAAGGCGUCUUUUUUCAAAUCACCAAGAAGUAAAACAACCUCUUCUUCACAAACAAUGGCAACAUAGUAAUCCGAUCGUGGCUCUGUCUCCCCAUUGAACUUUGCAGCUUUAAGGUCCCAAAAGAUAUCAACAGCUCUACUGUCUACUGUAAUGUGUUUGGAGCCUUGUUUUCUCCAGAAGUACCAUGGCUUCAGUUCAACUUUACACCGAUAAUGUUCAUCUCCAUCAGGUCCUUCAACAGAAACAGAGAGACCAUGUAGCAGCAAAUUCUUGCACCAGGUGACGGUGAUCAAACGACAUUCACCAGCAAGCUUUGUUCUAUAAACAGACAUGAAUACACUCUGCCCUGACCUGGCUACAGUAGCCGGAUCAUCAGCUUGCCUUUCACCAGAUGAAAAGCAAGCAGGAAUUGCAAUUGAAUCAUGCAUGGUACUUGAGAGAAUGAGCAGAGAGAAUUGAUUUGGUUUAUAUAGAAAAUGGGAAAUGGAUAUAUUUUUAAGUGGGAAGAAUAAUAUAAUAAUGAACGGAUCAGGAUCUCACCCACUAGAUCUGACGCAUUGAUGCUGCCAGAGUUUCUGUUGGCAGCUUGUUAUCAUCAAGAGGAAAAUGCUCAACUUCUAAGCUGGCAGUUUUUAAAGGAUGGAGGCAAUACUAGAAUGAUGGAAGGGAAACAUAUUUUCUAUUCAACUAAAUGAAACCCAAGUAAUCUUAUUUCAUCAGUUUCUUUCUUUUAUAAUUUUUCUUUCUGUUUGUGCCAAAUACGAAUGCACCUUUUCCGUCUUCGAUGUGGGUUGGCUUCAAUGAUAGGAGUCAUCCCAAUAAAAUUAAAUUAACUUUUUCGUGCAUGGUAAAAAGCGAGCAUACACUUUUUCAGCAGAUUUGAAGUUUAUGUGAAAAUGCACCUCAAAAAGUAGCUCAUAUAGGAGAAAAAGUGGGGCCCUUUCAUGCAUGAGAGCAUGUGGGUGGGCGCAAAAAUGAGGCUGGCCGAAUAUGUUAAAAAAUAAAAUAAAUUUGGAACAAUAAUAAUAAUAAUACAUUGCCAAACGAAAAAGGAACCAUAUGCCUGGGUUUCUUCUUCAGCUAUAUUUGAAAUUUGGGCAAAAUAUUUAGGGGAAAGCGAUUCUGAAAUCCCAAGGAUUCUGCAGAAUUUGCAGCAUAUCCUCUCUCUAUCUUGAAUUGAGCAGUGACAUGGAGAUAAGUACAUAGUAAUCUUCACUUCUCUGGAUGUGAACAUAAAAGAUUAAAAAUAGAUAUGCUUCAUUAUAUGAAACGCUCUCCUACAACUCACUUAUUCAUACAUCUACAUGAUUAAUGAUGAUGUCUGAGUAAUGGUAUGACGUAAUUCGUAGAUCCCUAGAUCCUCUUUAAUUGGGCGUCUUCAAGUACCUUCCUAAAUUCAGUUCAUUAAAAAUGCAAAUGGUGGCAGUGAAGUUAGGAAUGAAUACUAGAUGCUGACGAAAUUGAACUUGCAUUCAUAAUCAAUUAAUUCUCAACAGUUUUUUCCUACAAAAAGAGAUCCGAAUUUUAUGUUACCAAUCAGAAACAUCACCGCCGAAUGACGCUGCUCUUUCACUGUUGACUGAUGUUGUGUGCAACUCCACAACAUGGAGCCCAUCCUAGUUUAUCGUAAUGGUUCCAAAUAUACAAGAGAGAGAUACUUUGGAGUGUAACUAAUCAUUGUGGCUAGCCCAGUUACAGAAAACUCAAUCAGCUGGUGCAUCUAAAGCGGUUUAAAUCAAUUAUCAUCACAGUGAUGUCAUCCAAACUACCCCUACUCAUGGCAAGGUUUGCGAGCUCCUUGCAAGCAGCCAUAAGUCCUGAAGAAGCAGGACUCUUCUUGUAGUCAGUGUUCUCUUGACUUGAGGACUCGGUCUUUACAUUUAUUCGCUUGAUUAUUGAAAUUCUUCUUGACUUUGAAGAAGGUGAUCCAAGUUCAGAAGCAAAGUCAUCUUCACUAAUUGUCUUCUUACAUCUGGGUGACAGACUUGCAUCUUUUGCUUGCUUGACCAGCGAGACCCUUCGUAUCUUUGAAGAUGGACUUACAUUCACACAGCCAUAGUCCUCAUCAUCGUCUUUACUAAAAUCUCCUAAGGUUCCUAUUGCUUUCCCAGCUAACAACCGUUUCACAAUAUCAACAGCUUCUUGGUUACCAACCUGGGAAAAGAAGUCAGAGGUCAAAAUAAAAAAUCAAGCGAAGUUAUAAUCAUCUUUAACAGUAACAUAAAAUCCACAUUUCUGUGCACAGUGCAUAACAUAAGAAAGCAACACAUUGAGGAUCUUCACAUUACAAUUAGAUUUAUGGCUUAAGUUGAGAAACAAGCCAAUUUCAUUUUAGAAGGAUCACUUGACUACAACCUUAUGUUAGAAAGGAAAGUAUUUCAGACAGGCACAGGUUACUAAAAACUUUACUAAAAAGAGACAAGAGUCUGAUGGCUCGAUUUGUCUUCACAUUUUGUAGAUUAAAUAAAAAAAAUUUUGCUGUAGACUUAAGUACCUAACCUACCAUAUUGUCAGCUUAAAAAAAACCGUUGGUAUUAUGCAAAAAAUGAACCAUACAAAAGACCUUUUUUUUUUUUUUUUUGGGAUAAGAACCAUAAGAAGGACCUUAAACAAAAGAAGAUUAAACCAUUUUGCACAAGCAAUUACAUAAACAAAAAAAACACAACCGGCAGGGGCACAGCAGAGUGCCACUUCUUACCUCAUCCCAGAAUCCAUCAGAAGCCAACACAAGAAACUCCAUGUCUGAACUAAAAUUGAGAAUUUUUGUAUCAGGCUCAGCCAGUACCCAGUUCUUCAGAUGAGCAUUUCCUAUACUUCUCGACACAGCAAGUAUCCCAUGAACUCUCCAAGCUCCUCGGUGGAAUUCGACGUAGCCCCCCUGAAACACAUUAUCAAUAAAAGCCAUCAAAAUGAAUCUGAGCUCCACACUUCUAAUUUUGACCACUCAAAAAUAACCCACCUCAUUCUCUAUUCGUUUGCGUUCAUCCUCUCUCCCUGCUUUAUGAUCAUUUGUUAGGGCUUCAGCCACUCCUCCCCUACAGAGGACAGCUCUGCAAUCUCCCAAGUUUGAGACUACAACAUCAUGCCCCUCGAUAAAGGCUGUGACGCAGCAGGCACCACUGACUAGACCCUGCAUUUAUUCACACACUGAUUCAAACAUAUCUGCAAAAUAAAACAUGAAGAAAUAUAACAGAAAUGGUUAAAAAAAUGAUGCAGGCAUCUCCCACACACACACACACACACACACACACACACUAUGCAAGUUCUAAGUUCAGAAGGCUAUAACCAAAUCAGCCAAUCUAAUGUAUUCCUUCUAGCUCAAAUCUUUGCAGCCUGUUGGUGUCUAUUUAACAAUAUCGGUAUAAGAAAUACCAGAGAAAUGCCAUUAAAUGUAAUAGAGAUUGCCAGCAUACAGUCUAGUCUAAAUACAAUAAACAAAAGGAUUCUUAAUUUGGUCAUAUGCGGCCACAGGCGAAGGAACGUUGAUCAGUUUCAUUAUUAGACCAAUGUCCCCUCUAUAACUGUAUUUAGCCAGCAGCUUUUGUGGACAAAGUAUAAAGGAAAACUUAGGAACGAAGAUUUCUAAUUUCCAAUUUGUUUGGGUUGACUUGAAUUUAAGAUGUUCAUAUUGAAUCUUACCUAAUAAUUUAUUUCAAUUUCAAAGACAUUGAAUGAAUAAUAAUUGCUAGGAAAGCAAAAUUCACUAAUUCACCAAAAAAAAAAAAAAAUAGACAAUUACCUGUUUCAAAAACUCCGCGUCUGUUUUAAGAUAACCAGCUUUAACAGCUUCCUCCUUAUCUCCUGUACAAGUCUUCAUCAUUUCAAAAAUAUUCGUGUGCAAAUUCUCCGCCACAAACUCUGCAGCCAUUUUGCCUCCAUGUCCAUCAUAAACACCAAAGAAACUCUAAACAUAAGCAACAAAAGAAUGUCUCAGCAAAACAAACAAAUAAAAGAAAGAAAAAUAGGAAAAUAGGGAAAAAAAAAAAAGCGAUUACUUUAUUAGAGUUGCCAUGCAAGCAGGAAAUGAUCUUGUGGGUAUCUUCCAUGAACUUUUUCUUGCCUUUGAGGGAAGAAACAGCGACGCCAAUCCCACUGAAAGAAACGGCAUCGUCUUGAACUAGGGGCGACGUCAAGUCUUUGAACUUGAGCUUAUCCCUUUGGAUUUCUUGCAAAACAUUGGGGAUCUCAAUCUUGGGCGGUCUCUUUCUCUUUAAGGAAACACUUGAAGAGUUAGCAGCGUUUGGCUUCUUCUCCAUUUUUGCUUCAAAAGGUGAACGCGAGUUGUCGUCGUCGGCCAUUGCAGUUGUUGCUGGAAUGCUUGGCAUUAAGACGUAAGGGAGAGGGAGAAGAGUGCUGCUAACGGCUAUAAAAGAAAGAGGGGGGAGAGAGAAACAGAAAGGAAAGGAGAGGAGUGUUUGUUGUUUCGUUUUUGUUUGUGUUUGGAGUCAAAUAAAAAGGUCAAAGGGGAUAGCUUCCGCUCGAGCCGUUGGGCGAUGGGGGUAGUCUAACUAUUAGUGGGUCAAACUUUGAAUGCACACUUGGUCGGUUGUGUUUUGAGAGACGUGGGAGGGAAAACAAAUCCUCCUAAACUCCGUCCUAAAUUUGGCUACAGGCUUUUCUUUUGUGUGAAUUAAUAAUUAUUUGGAUAUUAUCAUAUCAACAAACAAUUUCCUUUGAAAAUAUUUGCUACUGGCAUGCCCACGAAUCAUUGAUAUCGCUUAAAUUGAAGUUGUUUAAUUUAUCUCUUGCGUAAUUUUAAAUUUAAAAGGCCUUUAUAUUAUUAAAUAAUUAUAAAUUUAGGCAGCUUUUCUUUAUAAACUUAAAACAUCUUAAAUCCAUUAUUUUUAUACUUAUGACCUUGAAAAUAUUAUAUAUAUACUUAAAGUUGUAUAUAUUUACAGUGUUAUCUAGUACAAUAAUUUUUGUAUGUUAUAAAUAUUUAUAUGGUAAGCAUUUGAUAAAUAAUUUAUGAAAAAUAAUUUUCAUAACAUUAUUUUUUUACAACUUAAAAUAAUAUUUAUAGUUUAAAUAAAUUGUUAUCUAACAGUAAAAGAAUUUGUUUAAAAUUCAAAUUGAAUGUAUGUUAAAUAUUUAAUAACAAGGAAAUUUUGAGAUUAUGAGCAAUUUAAUAAAAACAUCUAAUAAUUAGAUAGGAAAUAAAUACAUUUAAUGAAGGUAUUUGUCAGAAAAAAAAAAUUAUUUUCCUUGCAAAUAUUUUAUCAUUUAGAUAAAAGUUAAACUUUACUUUUUGUCUUAGGUAAAAAUGUCUUAUAAUAACACUCCAAUACAAAAAACAAAUAAGGUAUAUAUUAAAACAUCUUAAAUUAAGGUAAAUUAAAACUUCAGAUAUAAAAACAAACAACCCUUGGUUUUGAAUUUUGAGAAGAAAUUUUGAACAAUUUCUCUUUUGCGUCUGUUUGGUAUGACUUAUUUAAUGACCAUAAGUACUUAUUUAAUCUCAUGAGUUAUUUUUCUUUUUCUUUUUCUUAUGUUGUUUGGUUGUUUUUUAAGUAAAACUUUUGAAUAUUAAAUAAAUUAUUUUGCCUUUAUUAGUAAAAGUUUAAAUUUUCGGCUCUUAGGAGUCGAUGUUGAAAUUUUUUUAAAAUAUUAAAAUAUCUAAAAUAUUAUUUCUUUAUUUCAUAUUCUUAUUGUAUUUAUUCAUAACAUAACUUUAAAUGACUUGUCUACUAAUAUAAUUUUAUCAUUUUCAAUAAAAGUUUCAAUUGAUAAUUAAAUAACCAAAUUUUUUUAGUAAAAAUUCUGCUUGUAAAAAACUUACUAAUAAUUUUUUUUAAAAAAAAUUAUAUCAAACAGAAAGUUUAUGUUCCACGUGACGUUACGAGAUAACGUUAUUUAUAAUUAUAAUUUAUAUGUAAUUAAAAAAAAUUAUAUCAAACAGAAAGUUUAUGUUCCACGUGACGUUACGAGAUAACGUUAUUUAUAAUUAUAAUUUAUAUGUAAUUCGUUUGAAUAAUAUUUAAAACUUAGGAAAGAGAUAUGACAGGACGCCGAUUAAACGAGGGAGUUGACGAGUUGUAUGAAUGAAAUUGAAGUUGAAAACCAGCCGCACAGUUUUCAUCGGAGACACGAACUGUUAAGUCUGUUGUUACCUUUGCUUUUCGCUUUGUUGUGUUACUUAGUGGUGCAUAGAAUUAGAAGAAUAGAGAGAUAAUAAUUUAAUAAAGAAUGCUGCUCCUCUCUGCGACCGCAGUCACUCCCAAAACUCCACUCUCUAAAGAUCACACAUGCUGUCUCCUCUUUUGCCCCAAUUAUCAUCCCAAAUUCUGCGCCUCACUCAACCCCAAGCCACUCACCACCUCCCCUAAAUCUCUCUCCAGCAACGGCACCUCCCUCCGUCACGUGACUCGCACGCUCUCCAACGAUGACGAGCCUCCUGCUGCUGGGUCCCCCAUGGUCUCCUCAGCUUCCGCCGUCGCUUCCGCUAUCCGUAGAACCUCGACAUCUCCCAUCGAGUUCCUCCAGACGAUCGAGACUGAUCAGAAAAGAUGCAACUUAGUCCUCCCCAGUCCCGAUUUUCAGCGACUCUGCGUCGAGCAACUUCACCUCUUUCGAAGAAUCGUCGAUCCCGACGCCGUCCUCUCGGUCCGCUUCCUCUCUCAUUCAUUCGCCUCUUUCUUUUUUAUCCUUUUUUGUUUUGUUUUGUUUUGUUUCCUUCAUUCAAUUUCCAAUUUUCCUUCUUUACAGGUUUAUGUGAGACCGGCUGGCAGUUAUGUAAUGGACAGGUUAGAGCUGCGUAGAGUGGUUAGCUAUCCUGGUGUGAACGCAACGGACAUUGUUGUAUUAGUUGGCAAUUUCAACAUGCCCGCUGGAUUACGUGCUGCUGAAGCUGCACUUUCUAGCCAACAAGUUGGACUUACUACUAGUUAUUAGUUAUAACUAACUUUGUCAAAUUCAAUAAGAUUUUGUUAAUCUUUAUUUUAAUUGUUGAAUUUGAAUUUUAGGUUCAAGUCGUGCCUGAGCAGAGAGCGGUGGUGUUCCCUAUGGUGAAGCACCCAUUUGUUGUGGGGUUCUUGGUUGCGGAGCUGCCACUGAUGGAAUUGCAAAUGUGCGGGACUGAAGAGCCCGAUGCUGCUAUUGGGUUUCAGUCAUCAGAGGAAGUCUAUGCGUUCCCUCCCAGCUUCGAUACAGAAUCUCAUGCAAUUGAGAGUUUUGAUCAUGAGAGAAUGAGAGUGUACAAGUUUAGUGCUGACCAGAGACUGAAUGCCAUUAAUAUAUGUAGGUCUCUUGCCAUGGCCUAUGUAAUGGAUCAGGUAUAUGGGUUGGGUUGCUAUUAGAAUGAGCAUAUCUUCAAUCUCUCAUAUAUGCUACUUGAAACUUGAUGCAUUUAGCUUAGUUCUUGCUAUGAUGCGUGCCGCCCUGGCAGUCUUAGCAUAUGAUAUUUGAACUUCCUCAUGCUUGUAGCUAAUUUGCACACUACUAAGCCUAUCAACCAUAUUGAAAUGCAAUUUUGACUGUAUCAGUUCAUUUACAAUUUGCUUGCUAUUUUCUCCCCAGAAAUCGAUGUUACUUCAACAAUCUUCAUGGCAAAAUAAUGCCAGGAUGAGUAAUCUGGUUGAGCAGGUAAGCUGAUUCUCAAACUGUUGUGCACCUAUUUAUUUAUUUAUUUAUUUUUGGUUUUUGGUGUUUUUUUUUUUUUUUUUGGUGUGGGGGUUGGGGGGGAGAAGGUUGUAUUUGUUUAGUAAACUUAUUCUCCUGUAAUUAAACUUUUCUCAGAUUCGCGGUCCACUGUCCAGCAUUCAGACUUUAAGUAAAAUGUUAUCCCUUCAUAUGAAGAGAAGCGAGGUUUGCGCACUUAAGUGACCUGGGAUUCCCCUUCUAAUUUUCUUUUUCUGUUUGAAAAGUUUAAGUAUAAAAUAGUUCUUGCAGAUAUCUUAUGACAUUGUUGAAGAUAUUAUGGUCCAAGGUGAUCGUUUGAGAGGUACCCUUCAAGAGCUCCAGGAUGCUGUUUUUUUGACAAAGGUAUUAGAACUGCACACACAGACUUCUAAAUACAGUCCUUCACUUUGACUUCUUUUUCAGCAUUCUACUCAGAUUUGUUUUUUGCUGUCAUGAAAUGAUAUUAUAAUCUUUUCUUUUUUUUUUUCUCAUUUACUUUUCCUGUUGUUUGGGCGUAGCCGCAUAGAUCUCUACUUUACCAGGCUUUUUCUUUUCCGUUUAUUACAUACAAUACAAGCUUCUUAUGAGAUUAUUUAUGAAGUUGGAAUUUGAAAGCUAACUUUAAACAACUUCCCUUUGUAACAUUGAUUUUUUGCUACCAUUUGGGUUGAAGAUUGUACAUCUGAUAUUGUUUUUUAUACUUAUUAGGCUAAUAUUGUGCGCUAUAAUGAAGAAACACUGAAGAAAAUGAACAAUUCAGCGUAUUCCCAUCCAGAGUCAAUCAGGUCUCAAUUAUCUAAUAACUUUUCAAGAGAGAAUUCUGGCAAUAAGUUGCAAAAUUCCUGCAAACCAUUAUCACUGGAUACACCUGCCAAGGAUUUAGAAAUGCCCAUGCCACCUCUGGCCCUUGCUCCUUUGAAACAAAAUGGAAUUAGGUAUGCUUUAACUUUUCUUGAUAUUUUCAAUUUCAUUGCCUAGCGUAAUUCGAUUUCAAGGUAUGCAAAAUAAUUUAACAGUGUUCAUUUGAUUCACCUCAUCUCAAAUUUGGAAAUUUCUCGUUCGCUUAUUCUCUUCAUUCAUGUCAGGAAGACCGUGCAAUGUUUCUGAUGUGUUGGGAGAUUUGGUUGAGGCUGUGAGGCCUCUUGCCCACAUGCAGCAACGACAGGUGGAACUAAGCGAACUUUCGCAAUCUUUGCUAGUUGCAGUAGAAGAACCUGCUCUACGUCAGGCUCUGAGCAAUUUGAUUGAGGGUGCACUGUUGCGUACCCAAGUUGGGGGUAAGGUUGAAAUUGUGUCUGCUGCAGCUCCAGCUGGUGGUGCUUUAGUAGUAAUUGAUGAUGAUGGACCAGACAUGCACUAUAUGGUAAUAAUAGCGAACUUUGCUGCUAAUUCCCCUCCCCACCUCACCCCAAUAUUGGAUUAGAAGUUGAGAACUCUGUUGUUGCAUGCUUUGAACAUAUUUCUCCUUUGUCCUUGGAAGCUGUGAAUUGUGUGUCCCUUUUUAAUACUCGACAGUCAAAAGAAUAUCAUGUCAUGGUCUGAGGAACUCAAAACUUAUGGUAUAAUGUUACGCUGUUGCAAGAGAUUCGGGAAUCAUAAAAGAUUCUAGCAUCUAAUCCACUUUUUUAGACAUGGGAUUCUGAGUUAAGAGUACCUUGCUUAUUAAAUAUCCAGGCAGACAUUGCUAUAACCCCCAUUGCCUUUAUCAUAUCCAGUUUGUCGUGUUAUGAAUUUAUUUUGUUGUUGGACAUGUAUGCUGCAGACGCAGAUGCACUCACUCACUCCAUUUGGAUCAGAACUGUCCUCGGAAAACAUGGUUGAAGACAAUAUGACGUGGAACUUUGUUGCUGGGUUGACAGUAGCUCGGGAGCUACUUGAGAGCUAUGGCUGUGUUGUCCGUGUGAUAUCACCAUGGAAGACAGAUGCUGCCCUUGGAUCUGGGGGAACUCAUGUAGAACUCUGGCUUCCUUCUCUGGCUCCACUAUCUGAUCUUAAUGGCAAAUCAAAUGAGACUUAGCUAAAAAUGGAACUGCAUUCAGAUUUUUCCAUUCAACAGAAAAAAUCCUGACAAAAGCAGGUUGGUAGAUUAUUGUCUGAAAUUCAAUGAGAUUCUGUACAGAUUGCUUGUAUUUUAGCUGCUGUAAAGGCAAGGUGUAGGUAAUGAAGGGUUAGGAUUUUUAAAGCAUUAAAGCCCUGUGAGUAGAUGAGUUGCCGUUGCAGCUGGAUCAUACUUGUAGAUAAAAGAAGGUUGAGGAAAGAAGAUGUAGCAUUUGAACAAUUAUUGUUGUCUUUGGGCUUUGUUCAGGUUUUGGACAACUUGAACGGGCCACGAGGCUGGCCUGUUAGAUACUGGGCUUUCAGUUUAGUAUUUGUUGCCGUGCUAUUGCGUGGACCGAAUGGACUGGUUCACAUUCCAUGUUUCACGCAAAUAAUUAAAAGUCGGUUAAAACCGAGAGAGAAGAGGGAGCUGGUUUCUUGCCUUAAGUUUCGGCAAUGAUAGAAUUAGUUACUUGUUCAGAGAAACCGAGGGCAAAUUAAACACAAGGUCGUAAAUAAUUUGUGAACGACUAUGACUUAAAUUGUUCCAUGCAAUAGUUUAAUUAAACUCAAUUAAUUGUGUCUUACGUCAAAAAAAGAUAUUUUAAUCCGCAAAAAAAAAAAUUAUUUAUUGAAAUUCAGGACGAGUUAUGUAUAUUGGAUUCUACUCUUUAACAUUUUUUUUUUUUGUAUGGAAUAAGAUAGAGAAUGACAUGUUGUUUAUUUUUAAUGGGAUGGAAAUAAAAAUCAUAAUGUACAUACGAAGAAUAAUUGAAAAUAUGAGUCAUCAACGUCAGGGUCAAGUCAAGAGACCUACGUAAGAAGGAGAACAUGGUGCAGCCCGACCCACCGCCUCGGUGUUUAGUAGCCAAACAAAACAGUGGACCUGUCUACGUUACAGAUUCUGUAACAAACAUCUCCCGUCAUCCCACCAUCCGAUUUUCUUUUGUUUAGUUUCUCACUCCACAUCCAAUCACAUCCAACGGCUGAUGCUGCAGUCUGUACCUUACAGAAUCUGUAACGUAGUUUUGUCCCAAAACAGUGGGACGCGUCAAAGACUUGAUUUGAUUUGAUGAAGGAAUCCAUACGUAAUUCCUCCAAAAGUCAACCACACACAACCAAACCAACAACAACCGACUACAUCAGUAUUCCGAAAUCUUAAGCAUGAGUUAGGUGCCACGUGUCUCGUCGGGUCGGGGCAACAAAAGUAUUUUUAGGAAAUAAUAAUUAAACAAACAACAAUUCUAGUUGUUCCAAGAAAAAAUAAUUACUAUCAACUUGUAAUGUCAAUUCUAGUGCCAUUGAUUGCAUGCCCCGUCUUGUAGGUUACCAGAAUGGCCGCCAUUUAAUAGCCAAUAGAACAACCCCAAGCAAGAUUGAGGGCGGCUUCAUCUCCUCUCUUGUUAACGUUUCAAAAGGUUCGACGCUGUUACGUACUCAUGUCAUCGUGAUCACCACUCAGCCGUCAAAGUCCACCCUCUUUGAAUUCUCUCUCUCUCUCUCUCUUUUUUAAAGAUUUUAUUUAACAAUAUUUUCUUUGACGUGCAAUGCGACAAGCCACGUUGGAAUUUUAUAAUUAGGAAAUGUACUCACAAAAAAAAAAAAAAAAAAAAAAGGUGAAAGUAUGACAUAUGCUCUAUUGCAAGAAAAAUGCUAAAUAUUAUCAGCGUAAUCACAUUGAAAAUGUAAAAUGCACACCAUCAUAAUUGGCGGGUGACUAUUUAUACUACUUAACUAUUAAGUCAAUAUCGUCCCAUAUUUUCUUAAGUCAUUGAUCGGGGGGUCUUUUUCUCUUUAACACAUCGACAUCAUGGCGUCGGAAUUUUUGGAUUGAAUUUUGUUCACCUUAUAGAAAGAGAUCUAUCUACUGCUUUUUAUUCCUGGUCAUUUGGUUAAGAAAAUGUUGCCAUGAGUGAAGGCAAACCGAGUUACAAAUUUUACAAAGCGUGCACGGAUUGAAUUUAAUUUGCUGGACCAAUCUCAAAUUUUUUGUACUGCCAAAUUGAUAAAGCAAUUUGGGUCCAUUCUUCCUUCAAUAGACCAUAUACACAGCCAACCGGAUUUGAAGUUGAACAGCUACUCUGUCAUGGUCACCGGCCCCCUUUGUAGAUCUACAUAGCUAUUAAGCUAGCUGCUUUUAGCCAUUCGUUUUUCACUUUUCAAGGACUUGCUUAAUUAAUUAUGUCUUUCUUUUUUUUUCCUUUUUAUUUUUCGGAAGCUAAUUAAUUAUAUUUGAAAAUGCGUUUGUUGUCAAAAAUUUCACUAAACCAUGUUUAUCUUUACAAAUUUAAUUUAAUUUUAUUUUAUUUGAAGUUUGAGGCCUUUCCCACUUCUCCAUAUGGAAUGGAGAGUGCCACAAUCCAAAUUACAACGCAAAUCAAACACUAAUUGAAAAUUCGACGCUAAAGUAAUUCACGAUAUAAAAACGCACGCACGCAGGCAGAUGUCAAGUCAUAUCAGCGGUUAUUUCCUUCGAGCAUCACAAAGUGGCCGCAGCAAUAUGCAUCUGCCAAGUGUUAUCACCAAAUCAAAUCAAUCCAAUUACAAAUUAGAAAAAUUACAAAACAAUGGAACAAAAACCCAGUUACCAAGGCAAAAAGCCUUUUUGUGAGUUGUACUUUACCUUUCUCUUGCAGUGAAAAUUAUAAAUAAAAACAAAUUCUGAUUAUUCUUUUUCUAUUUUUCAAAAAUUCUCUCGCGAAAAUCUAUAGCAUUCUCAACAAAACACAAACACCUAACUUUGAUAUAUCCCUCAAAAUCAGGGGAAAAAAAAAAAAAUCAUUCAGAUACAUUUCCAAAUUCGCUCGAUCUCAUUAUUGUUUGCCCAACUUUGACUUGAAAAAUACAAAUAGCUAUAAAAUCUUCACCUUUGCUCACGUUUAAUAGAGAACAGGGGCGAUCAGGGCAAGUGGGUUUCUUGUGAUUUUUAAGUUUGAUCGUUUUCUGCUCACCAGAUCUUGUCACACUUGUUGCACGGUUUUUUCGUUUUGCAGGUAUUUACAUGUUCACUCUCUUUUUAUUUUUCUGCUUUUUAAGUAAUUCUACAACUAAAAAUCAGUUCAAAAGCUGGUAGCUUUAUUGAUCGGCAUCGCUCGUAUGCUGCUAAAGUUUCUUUUUUUUUUUCUUAAUUGGUUUUUUUUUUUCCGGUUCUUAUGUUAACUGUGUUUUUUUUGGGGCGAAAAAAAUAUAUUAUUAUUCUCUUUUAAAAAAAAAAAAUCUUCAGAAGUAACUUAAUACUUAGGUUUAUGUUUGUGGUCGUGUAAUUCUUUGUGUCUUUGAAUGUAAGCAAAGGUCAGUUGUUUGUCUAAUCUGGGUAUUUGGGCUUUUGUUGAUUUAAAUAAAAGUUUUGAUUUUUAGUGAAAAAUGGGAACAUGGUAAGUUGAGGGUUUGAACGGGAUUUUUGGUAUGAUUGUUUAUUCAAUCAAAUGGAACAUUUUUUAUGAUUCGAUGAAUUUAGUUUCUUGUAGAGGAUUAUGUGUCGGAAGCACAUGCUUGCUUGGUUCAUUUCGUGUUUUCAGGAAUAGCUGCAAAUUUAUUGAUUUCGUUUCAAAAUCUUUGUUCUUGCAUGUGUGUAUAUAUUUGACAAUGGGGAUGUGAGAUUGUGAUUAUGCCACAGAGUUAAUACAUUACCGCAUAGGAUUACCUUGUGAAGACAUUGAAAAGGGGGAAGUUCUCGAUUUCUUUCUUUUAUCAUCUUAGAUUGUGGCUAGUAGAGUAGUAACAUUGUUUUGUCAAUAGUGAGCACCAUUUUCCGGUUUCAUGUUGUUGCAAUAGAUGUUUCUCUGGAUUUGUGAGUUAAUGUUUCUUAAUAGACCUCUUUUCUUGUAACAAUGUAUUGAAUACAGCAGGUCCUGUUUUGCUUCCACAAGGAUCUGUGUCUGUUUUAUGGACUGUCAAAGCAAUGCUCAGAAGUUGUGAAAAUCAGAAGAUUUUAAAUAAAAUGGGAACUGCUGCUCGCAGGUUCUGAACUUGUGAUUCCUUUCAUACAAUAGUGAACCCUAUUUUAUAUUUUUAUUUUUGACUCGUUUUAGAUUUGAUAACACUAUAUAAUUUCUGUUUGCUGCAGUUCGAUUAAUAGAAAAACAAAUGAGAGUAUGAGGCUGAUAGUAACAACAUUCGUUGGAGUGGUUUUUGGGUUUUUCAUAGGAGUAUCUUUUCCAACACUGUCACUAACUAAGGUACCUAAAGUUGAUUUUUAUUUGAUAUUUGCACUUUUGUUUUUAUUCAGAGAUAUGCUUAUAAGAAUGCCCUUGAUUAUAUUUGUACUUUUUAUUUUUAACUAGAUGAUGGAACAUUCACACUGUUUCUCAAUUCUGGCAGUUGACUCUCCCAUCCAGCCUUCUUCCUACCGUGGAAUAUGUUGAGGACCAAAGAUCAGGUCUUUCAACCCAAAGAUUUUUGAAUGUCUUUAAUCCUUUGAACCGUAAUAAUGGCAGCUCAACUCGAGCUCAAGUUUUGAAUGAUACAUCAAAGGUAAUGCCACCUAUCCAUGGUUUUUUUAAUCUAGAACAACAGAUUUUACAUGGCUAAAUUGUUUAAUUGGGGAGCUUAUUGCCAGUAUGGUUACUUCAAAAUUUUGUUUUGUGACCAGUUUCUUAAUUUCUUGACUAUUAAAGAGUUUAUUGUAAUUAUUGUCAAUAAACACACAUUGGAGAUCCCUGCUCUGUUUUCCAAAUAGAUAGUUUCUUCAGGUUGGAAAGGGCUUUAAACACUGCUUGCUAUGGUGGUUUGCAGCUUCACAAAUAUGAUAAAAGUAGGAAAGAUUGAAAAAGCAUAUAAUAGACAAAUAGACAAUUAAGCGGUUGUGAAAAGGGAUUUACUGAAUAAGUUUAAGAGACCCAGCUUUCAGUCUUGUUCCUGCAUCUCAGUCUUCAGACAAUUGUAGACCUUAGGAGGUCAAGAUUAGGGAAUCAGAUAUGCUAAUAAUAUUUUUUUGAAGCUUGUAUGUAAAUUUUGUUGGCAGUCCCAUCGUCAAAUUGGUUCUUGUUUUCUCCUAUUUCUUGCCAAGGUUUUCUCUGCCUUUCCAAAGGAGGUUGAUUGCUGGGUUCUUCUUGAUUUUUCUAUUAUUUGGUACAAAAAUUCUACAUAAUUGAUCAGAGCAGUAUUAUAAGUGGCUGAAAUGGAUGAAAAAAAUCUGGACAUGCCUGUAUUGGUAAUUACUGAGUAAAGAAAUUGUACUUUGAUCUUACCUGUAGUUGUUGAUAAGGUGGCUCCUUUUAGGUACUCUAUAUUACUGAGCUUAAAUGCAUGAGCUAUGUGGUACUUAAGUUAGGCCAUCAUUUAUUUGUUUCAUUGUUGGCAUAAGUGUGGAUAAUCUUAAAAGUCCUGUUUCGAGUGUUCUAUACUUAGUUUCCACAUCCAUACCUUUUUGGUAUGCUCUCUUUGCAUCAGAGUUGAUAAUAUUGUUCUUAUUUAAUAUUCGUGUCCAACGCUGAUUACAAACUCUUAAGAAUUUGUUGUUCCUUGUCAAUUUAUUUGAGCUUGCAUUUUGUGUUUCCUUUUUUAUUCUGGCACAGAUUUGGGUUCCUACAAAUCCUCGAGGUGCAGAAAGACUACCACCAAAGAUUGUUAGAGCUGAAUCAGAUUUUUACUUGCGCAGAUUGUGGGGUAAUCCUAAUGAGGUGUGUAUCUGACCACUUUCAUGAGCAAUAUAAUGUUGCAUUGUUUUUUCUAGUCCUGGGUGAAUGCUUUAAUGAAGACACCAUUGGCAACCUCUUGGUAUUUCUAAAUUGUUAUUGUUUGCUGGCAACAACAUAUCUGAUGAAGUCUGCUACUGCAGGACUUGACCAGCCAACCAAAGUAUCUUGUCACCUUCACUGUUGGUUAUGACCAGAAAAAUAAUAUUAAUGCAGCAAUUAAGAAGGUUGGUUUCUGCUUUCCUCCCACCAUUUUCUUUCUUUGUGUGCAUCUUUGUGUCACUAAUAUCUGUUCCAAACAGUUUUCAGACAACUUUACAAUUGUUCUCUUUCAUUAUGAUGGCCGCACAACUGAAUGGAAUGAGUUUGAGUGGUCGAAACGGGCUAUCCAUGUGAGUGUUCGGAAGCAAACUAAAUGGUAACUAUCUAUUAUUAUCUUCUAUUUCAUUUUAAAUCAUGAAUAUUAUAUCUACUUUUGCUGGUAAGCUUGAAUAUAACAUAUUUAUUAUCUGUUAGUUCAAUCUUAUGUUUUUGCAUUUGUCCUAGGUGGUAUGCGAAGCGGUUUUUGCAUCCUGACAUUGUGGCAUCAUAUGACUACAUAUUUAUCUGGGAUGAAGACCUUGGCGUUGAGCAUUUCAAUGCCGAAGAGUGAGUGAUAAACCCGUAGCUUUAAUUGAUUGUCCUGUUUCAGUAUAUUCAUUUCGUGACACACCUUUUGUUUAAUUUCAGAUACAUAAAACUAGUGCGGAAGCAUGGUUUGGAGAUUUCGCAACCUGGUUUGGAACCAAACAAAGGAUUAACAUGGCAGAUGACAAAAAGAAGAGGUGAUCGUGAAGUUCACAAGUAAGAAUUGUGGGAUUAUUACCAAAAUUCAUCUAGUCUGGUUUAUUGAAUGAUUUAAGUAACAAUUUUUCUUUGUUUGCUGAAUUCAUUAGAGAAACUGAGGAGAAACCAGGCUGGUGCUCUAACCCACAUCUACCUCCCUGUGCCGCGUAUGAUAAGCUUUGAUAUUAUUUUUGGAUAUGCAUUGAUUAGUUCGCUGACAUCUUAUAACUGGAUGAGUUAUUGCACGCAGAUUUGUAGAGAUCAUGGCACCUGUGUUUUCGCGAGACGCUUGGCGUUGUGUUUGGCAUAUGAUUCAGGUAUAAAGGAUUUUGCUUAUUCAUUUAAAGCCUUAACUGGUCCUCAAUUAUUUUCCCAUCCCAUUGCUUAGUUAUUAUUAUUUUUUCGUGGUGAUUUCAGAAUGACUUGGUCCAUGGGUGGGGCCUUGAUUUUGCCCUCAGAAAAUGUGUAGAGGUUAGUGACCUGUCUCAUCUGUCUUUGAUUAUCACUCUCUCUGUGAUCAUUUGCUAUUGCUGAAAUGCUUAACGUGAAUCUCUUGAAAAACAGCCUGCCCAUGAGAAGAUAGGUGUGGUAGAUUCUCAAUGGAUUGUUCAUCAAACUGUUCCCUCCCUUGGGAACCAGGUAAUUGGAAUAAAUAAUUGGCUACCAAUAAGUCCAUCUAUGUCAUUUUAAAAUUUGUGUAUGCUGGAAUGAAAUACUUACACCACUUAUUUUUUCUGUAGGGAGAGUCGAAAGAUGGGAAAGCACCAUGGCAAGGAGUAUGUGAAAUCCUUUCUUAAAUAAUUUUUUUAUUAUUGCACGCACGCCGACGCUUACAAUGAACUAAUUUUCUUCUAUGCCAAUGCCAGGUAAGGGAGAGAUGUAAAAAGGAAUGGACCAUGUUUCAGGGUCGGAUGGCAAAUGCUGAAAAAGCAUAUUUUCAGGCACUGGGAGCUGAUACUACGGAUUCCUCAGCUCAUUAGGGAACAUCAAUGUAAAGAGGCUGACCGUACACAAUGACCGCCAUUCAGUACAGUGCUUUAGGGUUUUACGUAUAUUGGCAGAAUCCAAUUUCUCAAUGUAAUAAUUUUUUUUUUAAUUAACAAUUAUUAGAUUUAUGGUAUGAAAAGAAAAUGAUCACCCAGUUUUCCACCUCAAGUUCUGCUGAGAUUUCAGUCAUUCUGUUCAUAUCAUUCCUUCAUUUCAAUGUUGAAUGCUCUAUCCUUGCUUCCCUUGAAUUAUCUUUCGCACACCUUGUCUCUUCCAAUGCUAGACAAGAUACGUGACGCGUUUCUUGACACAAACGGAAACAGAAAAGGUCCAGGCAUUCACAUGCCUUCGUGAACGGGACCAGAAUUUUGUCUCUCUGCACACCGUCAACAAGCUCCACAUAUUUAUCAAGAAAGUUCCUGGCGCCAUAGGUGCCUCCGUGGAUGUAAUUUUGCCCACACGUUUGGGGUGGAGGAGUUGUUUACCGCGCCAUAAUUUCAGAUGAUAGGGAAAAAGUUCUCAGAUUUUGAAAAGAUCGACCGACUCGUAAAAGCUUCUUCCCAUGAUUCCUUACCACAAUGACAAUCCGGCCAAUGUUAACGUUAAAGCGGACAAAAACGGUAAUUUUGUCUUCGUGCUUGUUAAAGAUACCUCUUGCUGUCGUGUUCUCGCUUUUGUUGAAAGCUACAGGUUAAACGUUAAUUUUGUGAUGUGUUGUUGCCAUGUUGAUUUUCAAGCCCGCGUUCACGUUUCUUCGUUAUUCCUUUUGACUUUUAUGUAUUGGGCGUGUAAUUAAAAUGAUGCCUUGUACAUUUUCCUUGCACGGUGUUCUACACGCUUACAAGAAAACUAGUCAAAUAAUAUGACCCGCAGAGAGAUGUCAAUGCGCACAAAACCAUAAGAGAAAGGCACGCCCGACUCUCAGGGUCUGCUCUAAGUGAAUAUGAUGAUGAUGUCUUCUUUUUUCCCCUUUUCCGCCUCCAACGUUAAGAGUUUAUUAAAUUGUGGGAAUCUAGCUGCUUAUUAGGCAAAACCCUCAAACUAUCAGUGUCAUUUCUUUGAUCAAAAUGGUCUUGCUGCUUCGAUGGGUUAGAUGUUAGAUUUGAACCGUUUGAUUUCAUCCUCAGAGGGGACCACCCAUCUUAGACGGCAGCACAUUGAAUUAACAGGUUCAAAACAGGGACAGCAAAAAGCGAAGGCUUCACAAAAAUCAUACGAGGCUCCGGGAAUCAAAAGAUUCAAGAAACUUCUUGACAAGGCGCAAAGCUGGAAGGUCACUGCCACAAGGCAUCGCCUCAUUAGCUCUCAGAAAGUAUUAGUGCCUUAGAGACACGUGGUUCGUGGAAGUUACCCUUCAUGUUCCCGUGAAAAGGCAGCACAACCGCCCAAUUUUAUUUUCUUUCACUCUUGUUGAAUGUUUGAUUAUCAUCACUAUUCGGUCAUCGAAUCACAAAUCUUUCACAAAAUUUUACACGUGUCGCCACGUAUAUAACCGACUGGCCCCACCAUGGUUAAGAUAUUUAACCAGGGUUAAGCACUCUAGUGGUUAGGAUGAGCCCGUCUGCCCGUGUUAUAUAUAUCAUCCUUCGAAAGCCCAAGUUGGGUUUAUGUUGUUGAAACUGUUAUGUGGAAGUGGAAGCAAAUUGCUUGCUUCUUUGUCUUCUCACUGUUGUUGUCUCUAGCCAGAGCCAAAAGCCAAUUCUUCUUCUAAAACUCUUAGCAAGAAUAGUUAUUGCGCCAAGUUUUAGAAGAAAAAAGUGUUUUGCUUUCUGGCUUCUUGAAAACAAAGAAGAUAAAUUUUGAAUUUUAUAACAUGGGUCUCUCAAAUUUCCCUAGUGCAGCUGAGGGGUUGCUACCGGGACUGGUAAUGAACACAGUUUUGUCUGUGGCUUUGCUGAAGAACAUGGUGAGAUCUUUGCUUCAAGGGAUGGGAGCUGCUAGUGAUUCUUCUUCUUCAAAUGUCGAGGAUGAAUCAGAUGGAUUCAUUAGUUCUAACUCAGAAGAUGAUAAUGCAAGAGAGAGGAGAAUAUCAGUAACCCAGUUCAAGUCUUUGUGUGACAGCAGGUCCAGUUCUAGUAGUACUGUUGCAAGAAGUAAUGGUGGCAGCACCUCCUGUUCAGCUGCAAUGGAAUGUUGUGUGUGUUUAAGUAGAUUCCAAUCUGAUGAGGAGGUGAGUGAGUUGUCUUGCAAGCAUUUCUUCCACAGAGGUUGUUUGGACAAAUGGUUCGACAACAAGCAUAGUACUUGCCCUCUUUGUCGAUCUAGUCUCUAGAUUGGAGAAGCUUUUGGUUACUUAGUGGGUGGGUUCAGCUUUUUUAAUGCAGGUUUUCACUUUUUAGAAGAUACAAUACUAGUCCUUCUAUAUUUUUGGUUGUACUUUUCUUUGUCUCUUUUUCUCCCUUCAGGCUUCAGGUUUGAUUUUUGCUCAAAAUUAGGGAAAUGUUAUGUGACAAGCUAGCUUUUGCAUUGCUAUGUUUCUGUACGUUAACAUUAUUGUGUAUUAUUGGUACAAGAUGAAGGGAUUGAAGCAGUUUUAAAAAUUCUUAGUCUUGAGUUCCUUCUUCUAUUAGCAAGUUUAAUCCUUGAGAGAAAAACAUGCUAUUGGGUAAUAGUAUUUGGAAAUAGCAAUGAUAUGGUAUUGAAAGAUUCUUAAAAAGCUGCCAUUUUUGGGUGGCUUUUUAAGGCUGUUGAUGGGCCCGUACCUUUUUUUCUUUACCCCCCUUUCUUUUUUGUUUUGCGUAAAGAUGGAAACCUCGUUUUGAUGAAGUCUCCAUUUGUCAAAAAUAAUCUUCUGGAAACAUUAUCUGGAAUCAUGCUGCCAAACUUUGUCAAUUGUCACUCUUAUGCAAAAGGCCAGCUAUUCACUCAUGUUCUGGUUCUCAUUUCUUAGCAGAAAUGAUCAAUUGGGAAUGAAUAACACACAAACCAUCCACAACAAACUAGCUUAAAGGUUAGACCUUUUUCGAAGAACCUGACUCGGGCUUGAAAAAUAAUCCACAACAAACUAGAAGCUGGAGGAUCAAUAAGAGGUCCAAGUUCUUGGUUUAAUUAAAUGUUCUACCAAUAUUGGAUGCUAAUAAAUAUAACUAGGUAGGUAUAGACUGAAGAUCUUAGACCACAAACUGGGCCCUAAACCUUCUCAUAGGAUUAGGCGAUUAGCAUCAGCCAUUCAGCUGGCAUUUUGGAUCUGAAAAAUCUUAUUCUGAAAACUCCGCGGAUCAAACCAGUAAAAUAAAAAGAUCUUUAACCGAAAGCCUGUCGAGCUUUGAGCCUUUUACCAGAAAAGAAAAGUUUUUCAGGACACGAUAACGAUCGGUCAUUUGGCACUUUAUUGAAUCAAAAUAAGUACAAAUCAUGCAACUGGUUGCAUAAGCUAAUUUUCUUUUUCUGUUUUUGUUCAAUGGGGUGGCCUAGUUCCAUAAUCUGCACAAAUAAAGCUUCAAUCCACUGUUGUGUUAUCAGGGACUUCUAUGGUUUAUUUAGUAAUUCUGUUGAUGGUUCAACAUGUUCUCAAUAAUCAUUCAGUUUCAAACUAUAUUUGAUAUAUGUGACAGAAGAAACGGGAAGUGAGGGUUGGGAGAGAACACAGAUAGAAUACAAACACUAUGUGGAUAUAAUUACUUGAAAGAAAUUAUUGGCUAGUACAUAUCGAACUUAAAAUGCAAAGAGCAACCGUAACACAAGCCGCUCUAACGCUUUAUCGGGCAUGGAAAUUGGUAUCAGUGUACAAAAUAACCACGAUUUAUUGUAUAUAAUCAGUGAUGGGCAACUCAAUAAUAUGGUCCAGACAUCUCAGACCUCUGCUUGCUUAAUAGAAACUUCUUGUGCCCAUGCUGAAUAAAUUCCUCAGCCUCUGCAUCCACGGUUUCUUCUAUCUUCUUCUUGUUGACCUUAGCAUGCACAGGAAUGCGAGCAGGUUCGUAAUUUACUACACGAAUCCUCCUCGGUUCCUCAGGAGCAUACCCCAUAUAGUCGUUGAACGUUGGAUUACUAUAUUGAUAAUGUUGGCCUUCAGGGAAUGGCAUCGGCUCCAGAGUGGUAGCAUAAACUGGGUAACCAUCUGACAUGGAACCAUAAACUAGGUAACCGUUUGAUGAAUCAAAGCUUUGAUAUCGCCUGGCGUGAUGGUGCUCGUGUCGAUGAUGCUCGGGUCGAUGAUGCUCAGGGCUUCCAUUUCCAUACAUCAUUUUUGGUCACUUUAAAUUUGUUUGCCUUCAGAUACGGGGUUUUGAAGUUGGGUUGUAUCUUCUGUUUUCCCAGCACAAUCAACGGCAUUUUAUAGUUUAACAUUAUGAUUCCUGGAUGAUAAAGUUGAAUCUAAUACCAUUUCUUUUGUCAUGAUCAAGGAUGAUUUCAGCCACUUUUAUGGACUACAAAAGAAACUGGAGAGGACAAAUUGGACUGAAAGAUCAACCAAGUUCUGAUAUUAUUGGGGAAUAAGGAAUUUUUAAAGCAAAUCUUUUCAUUAUUCGUAGCUUUAGUAUCCAAAAUAAAAUAUGGUAGUCUUUAUAAGAAAAAUGGUGAAGAAUCUAUCUUACAGACACAACUUGCAAAACAGAAGCAUUCCCUGCAUUGAAUCGUAUCCAGUCAUGUCAUCAACCCUUUUGAAGUCGAAUUCUUUUAACUGUAGGUGUUCCUAUUUCUGAGUUCAUUAGUUGGAUAGUUUGGCAGUAUAAGCAAGUUAGGUAGCUGUAUAAACAAGAUUAAUACGAAGAAAGACUGGGUAUAGACUUUUCUAUCAGCUGAUGCCCUCCUUUUCUGGCUUUAACAAUCAUUAGAUUCAAGUUGUUGUUUUCAAUUGCCCUAAGCAAAUUUCCCUCAUCUUGGCAAACAUUAAAAAUGGCAUGGGUGAUAACCUAAAACGAAGACCGUUUACAGACAUUUAUGUCAUGUUGAUAUGUUGUUAGUAUUGUUGAAUUGAACUUAAUAGAACUAGACUAGUUUAAUAUGCUUGAGUUACUUUCACAAAGCCUUUAUCAAUCUUAUUCAACUUUUAACACACUUUUAUCAAAACAUCCUAAUUUUUUUGGUGAAUUGCACCAUCCGUUUAAGAUCUUAAAGCAAGUAAAGAAAGGAGUAUCAAGAAAACUCUCAGCUCAGCCAGUCCCAAAGUUCUUAGUAACUAAAGGGCGUCUUAUUUGUAUUACUUGAUUCAGCAGGUGGCAGAAACGCCCUUUUAAAGUACAAAAGCAACAUAUAAUGACACAACAACCUUAAUUUUAGAACAUCAGCAGAAACAGAAACAUCAAAUGCAGCCUUAUUUUGAUGGAAGUUUGAAAUUUUCCAGUACAGUCUCUUCUUUACAGACUCUUCCACUCAACUUUCUGGUGGUCAUUGUGCAUCCUAUUGGCAAAGUCAUCAUAGCUCUCGCUUUGGACACCAUAGUUUUGCAUCCUUAUUCUCCCAGGAACUGCUUGGUAAGUCUCAUAUUCAGCAUUCACCAUCGUGCUGUUAGGCAUACGUCCAGGAGCCAUUGUAGGACAAGUCAUGCCAGGGUACCUGCCUUCUGAGGCAUAACUGCAGUAGCCAUUGGUGCUAGACCAGCCAUUUUGGUGCAUGUAUGGGCUAUCCCAAGCAUUAUGGUACUUAGGCUUGACAUUCCAGCCACCAUCUGGAUAUGCACCAUGUGUUCCAGAACUGUAUGUCAUAUGCUGCUUCGAGUAAUGAGGAGGCAUCAUGUGCAUGCUGGAAUAAUUGUUGCGGUAUUCAUUUUCCAUGUCAUAGCUGUCCUCGUGUAUGGCAUAGCCAUUAGGACCGUAACUGACGUUUCCAAGCAUGGUUGCUUGCUUCUUGCUUAGUACUUGAAAGCUCUAAGAUUUCUGUUUGCUAUGCAUAUUGCUGUGAAUUCAGGCGUUACUUAUAGCUAAGUUUAGAAUAAGACGAGAGAGCAUCUCAUGCCCACACUUGCGGCAUUGUUUAAAUUUGAUAUUUCAUUUCACUGUCUUCUUGUGUCUCAUUGCAAUACCAGUGGCACCGAAAGACUAAAGUGUCAUUUCAGAAUUUAUUCUCCAUUGACAAAAUAUGCAUGGCCCUGGAUAAUCCAGGUAAAAGCGAAUGGGGUACAUCUAUUUAUAAAAUGUCCACGCUGCAUUCACCGUAGCAAAGCAAAAAUUGAAUAACUGGAACAAAUUCAAAACCAAUUCAUCAAUUGAAAUUUGCCGAUCAACCCUAGCACCAACUGGUUGGUGCAGAUGGUGGGAGUCUCAGCUAUUUCCAGAUGUAAUUGAGAAGCCAAAUGGCCAUCCGAACUGUUUACAGUGCUAAGGAUCGUCCACGUCGAAGCCUUCACACAAACGAUAAGGAUCUAUGUAGCUAGUUUGGAUUUUGUUAACGCGCACAAAUGUUAAACCCCAUACAACCUCACAUCACAGGGAAUAAAAAUUAAAUCACAAAUUGCAGAUGUCUGAAACAUCUAAGAAGAAGUUUGUUAAUAAAAAAUAAAUCAUAAAUUGCAGAUGUCUGGAACAUCUAAGAAGAAUUCAACAAACUGAGGUUUGUUGAACUGAAAAAUUAAGGGCCUGUGAAAACGGGCGCGAAUUCCAUUACUGUGUGAAGGUAAAUGGCGUCGUGUAUGCAGCCCCCCUGCACUGCCUGUAAGGCAACUAACAGUUUAUGAGCGGUCCAGCAUGUAAGUUCUUUUGUGGCAAGAGUGGGGGAGUCAACAUUAUCAUCAAUAAAUGGUCUAUAAAACCAAUCAGACGAUGCACAUGUGGGAGUUAAAUGAAACACGUAUAAAUAAAUGUCUCAAAACAAAACUUCCCAUCGCAGGGAUAUCGCAAGAACCUCAAUCUACUUCUGAGUAUAUUGGGGAUAACAUGUCAUACAAUUGCUAAGUGGCAUAACCUGGUGAGGCUGCAAUCACCUAGCUGCUCCUAUUACAGUGAGAUCCCCCCUCAGUGAAUGGAUAUGCUUCCAACAUGAAUAAAAGCCAAAUCCAGAAGUUAUAUACAAAAAAAAAUCCACCCUAAAAGUUCCAUCUAAUUGUCCAGCUCUCCAAACAUUUCCCGAGGAAUUAAAUGAAUUCAUCUGGAAAUAUCUCAUGCCGUGUUAGUAAAACACCAGUGUCAUAAUAGUUCAAUGGAACUCUUCAUGAGGAGUCACACAAGCAGCACCUCCGACUAAUCUUUACAAGACAUGCAUCUAAAAUAACUGAAAAAAAUCACCCACUUUCUCGUAAGCAAUUUCCAGGCAAAAGAAAUUUAUACUUAUCCGCAUUCUCCAAAAGAUAAGAUGGCAGAUGAACUGCUGAAAAAGAAUGAGGAACUGGUCCCAUUUUCCCAAUGAUUUCCUUGAAAGUGUACUCCUCCGGAAGCAUAUCAAAUAAAUCGGCUCCUUUGCAGAUUACUUUCUGAAUUCUUUUAUGAUUCAAAAAAUAGGAGAAUCGAACUCGGUCAAAAUGGCUGUAUGCUUUCAUCUUAAAUGUGAACUCACUGAUAUGGCGGAAGCAAAAGCUACAGUGCCAUCCUGCAUCUGCCAAGAUAUCAUCUGACUGGCGAUAAUGUGCAUACCGAGUUUUACCAGUCUGAUAACGAUGUACUGAAGCUCUCCAGCUGUUAUUAUCCACAAGAAACUCAAAAGAAUAAAGAUAGUUCUUAAGCCGAAGAUGAAGGACUGGAGGUAUGUCAUCGCACCACCUCAAUAGAUUAAUGGUGUGUCUGCUUGGGAUCUCAUCCACAUCUGACAUUAUCAACAAGUCAUCAUCCGUAAUACCAGCAAUUUUGAGAAGUUGAUCCAGUGCUACUCGCUGAUAUGCCUCCUCAACAAACGGGUUUUCUCCUUUCUUAAAUCUACCUCCAAUAGUUCCAUAAGUCAAUCGGGGAUCCACAAAUUUGAACUGAUCCCGAUGAGCGGAAAAAACUAGAGGCUUUGGUUUUCCAGUGAAUGUCGAAUUAGACUCCAGGAGAACAAACUGUGUUAUAUAAGGAUACAACUCCUUCCAGCGUAUUGUAAGAAUGUCCAACUCAUUGCUGAACAAAACUGCAUCAUAAACACGUCUUGGGUACUCACGAAUUCCCCAACCAUGAAGUUUGCAGAGUCUCUCCAUUGAUACAUUUUCAUGAUAAUAGUGAGGGAUUUCAUGGAAGGGUUUGGGCGGGGAUUCCCAUAGUGGCCGCAAGAAGUAUGAGAUCUUCUGCCCAUGCACAUAGAUGCCAAAAACACAUGUUGGGACAAGCGCAAACAGAAAUAUAUAGGUCUUCAAAUCCAAGCCACGCAUAAUGCAGCGGAUUCUUGACAUGCUCAGACCUCGAUUUGAUUCCUGAAUAAAGAGUAAACUCUUAGCACUCAAACUCAUAUAUAAUCAAAUAUAAUACCACGAUCACAUCUAAAAGUUCAAUUGACCAUAUAUAAUUCAUCACGUACACAAAGCAGGGCUGUGUUAAGACGUAAGGAGGAAGAAAAAAAAAAAGUAAAGUGCAUGAACUGUAAUGUUCUGUUAAAUCCCCUUAAAGGAAUAUAGAAAGUAAAGAAAACUUGCUUAAAAGUUGUUUUCUUUUUCAAAGUAUAAAUACAUAAACUUUUUCUCUUUUUUCUGUUUCUUCAAUGAGGAGAUAUUACACCAAUAAAGAAGUUGCAACCAAAGUUGCCAAAUUUCCAACGGAUAAUUUUAUAAGAAGAGACUAAAAUAUUAUAUGCAAAUUGCAACUAAAGUUUCCAAAUUUCCAAGGGAUAGCUUUAUAAGAAGAGAUGCAAAAAUUAUAUAAAUCAGGAAGAGGAAAAUAAAAAACAAAGUAUCAAAAGUUAAUGGUAAGGUAAAUUCACUAUCUGCCCUUGGCAAUCAAGUCCAGAUAUUUUGGCAAAUAAUACAAAUAAAAGUGAAAAACAAAGUAUGUCAUAUUUUAAUUCUAGAUUAACAAAAAUCCAGAGCACUAACCAAACCCAGACGCAUCAAUUACUAGAAUCAAAUCAGCAACCAAACAUUUCAACAAAAUUUUAGCACAACAUGAACUUCACUGUAAAAAAGCAAAAUUUUCAAAUAAAUUGAAGAUUGCAAUCAACUGAUGCUCCUGGCUCUAUCAGAUGAAAGUGAUGCAAUCAGACCAAAGACACAUAAAUUGUCACAUUAGACACAAUUCAAAACGCAGAACCCAGCCUUUUAUGGCCUAAGUCUACAGUAGCCAAAAACCUAGAUCCAAAAUUUAAAAAAAAUAUUUUUUUUUCUUCCCCACAUUUUUCCAUACCCAGAAAUCAUUUAUGGAAAAUCAGCAAACAAAACUGAACGAAUCAAGCACUCGACGAAGAGGGUUCACGGUUUCACAAAAGUCCCAGAUGGGGAAAAUUAAAUUUAAGGAAAAAAUAACUUUAAAAGAAGAAAAGAAAAUUGAAAAAUACCUGGCCACAAACAUUGCCGCAAAUAUCAUCGCUCUUUUUAGAACAGUAAUGACCGCCUUCAUUCGUCAUCAUCCACCACAUUCUUCUUCUUCCUUUCGUAUGUUUUGUUCUUUUUUUUUUCUCCUUCCUUUCGUCUUCGAUAAUCACGAACAGAUCGGCUCCCGUAAUGACCAAAAUGCCCCCUGUCCCCAACUCUGCCUCUUCUUCCUUCUCAAACCCCUCUGGCCCUCUUCUCUUCUUCUACAAUCCGGAGGUCAAAUCGGGAACAAACACAAAAAAGUUCAAAUCUUUAACUCCACCAGUCGAUCCCUCGAACCUCCCAAUCCAAGAGAUAGAGAGAGAGAACGAGGGGUGUCUAAGAAUUGCUAAAAUAAGCGAUUAAUGGAGUGGCGUCAAUCUAAAUUAUUAAUAUCGAAGCCCCCCAACAAGAAGUAAUUACCAAUAAUUAGCCCCCAAAAAAUAAUUAAAAGAAAAGAAAAAAUGAAAGGCUGUGGCCUCUCUGUUAAUGGGUGGCAGUUGUAAAGAAUUUGUAACAAGAAGAGCGAGCGAGAGAGCGAGCCGUUUCUCUUGUCUUGUCUUGUACCUCAACUUUCCACUGCUUCUUUGUCUGUUAAAUAUUUCAAUUUCUUUUUCCCUGGUCGACGGAAAUACCCAUGCCUUAUGCACAGGCUGGUGGCAUAAGCAACGGUCUUUUUAGUAAUUAAGGAUUGAGGGUACGGGUUGGAACGUUGGGUUGGGCCGGGCCCGGUCCCCACGCGUCUAUUGACUGGCUCAAGACAACCCCAUGUCGUGUCUUUCUUGAUUUGCUGACAACAAGUCUUCUGCAAAAACCGGGUUCGUUUUUUAACAUUAAAUUUGAUUCCAAGUUUUCUUGUCUUGUUAAAUUACUCGUCGCGGCGACACAUGGCACCCUUGUGCUUGCUUUCCGGACUUUUAUCUUGUUGGAUUCGGUUUGAACUCGUUUUGAAUUACUAAGUAUUGGAAUAAAUUAAAAUUCACAUGGGAUAAUUUUUGUCAACCAAAAAAAAGAACGAAAAUUCUAACUUCCUAGUAGAUCCAAAUUGUUUAUGAGAUUAUACUUUAAAAGAAUUUAUUUAUGAGAUUCACCAUUCAAAAAUUAAAAUUAAGAAUUUUCAUAAAUAAAAAGAUAAACGCAUAAAGAUUUUUGUUUAGUGUUGCACUUGCAAUACAAAUAAGUCGAAUUCACUUUACAAAUUAUUUGAGAGACGUGUUCACCUUUAAAAAUAAUUUUAGAAAAAAAAAAUUCAUAAAUCAUUAACUUAAUAAAAUUAAAAUUGAAAGAACACGUGUUGUUUCUGUAAUAAUUGGAAUAUUGAUGUUCAUAAUAUUACUAUUACAUAUAAGUCAAUUCGUUUAAUGAAAUUUCAAAACGGGUAUAUAGAUGUUCAAGAACAUAAUUUUUCUUAUAUCGGAUUAUUUAGCGUGGGUCUAUCUAUUGAAAAGUUAUAAUUUUAGAAUCAAAUGCCCUACGGGAAAUUAAAUCUUUUAUUGAGAAAAAAUCAAUAGACGUUAGUUUGACACAUUCAAGUCUAUGAUUGGGAAGUUCGGAACCAGGUCGCAAGGGGGACCAAUAACCAAUCGGUUUGCUUUGGCGAAAAUGUGAGACGGCGUUUUGAGGGAAUAUGGGUCCUACCAUGAACAUGUUAUGGGAUUUUAGCUUUUUUUUUAAUUUUAAUUUUUUUUAUUGGGGCCCCCUAAUUAAGGGGUCGGGUUUCGACAAAUUUUUAUGAACAAAGCACAUGGUUUUAACUUUUAAUCAUUGCUUAUUAUAACAUAAAAUUACCAUGACACAAAUUGUCCAAUACAUUCUUGUUUUCACAAUUUUUAACUACGUUUAUUUCACAUUGUUGAUUCUCCAUUUGUUUUUUUUUUUUUUCCCCUUUAUUUCAGGAUAGGCCAUGUGAUUUGCUUUUUUUUUUUUUUCCUUUAAAUUACUAAUAACGUUUGAGUUUAACACUCUACGUUAUCCAACAUUAGGACAUUCUCAAUUCAUUAUCAAGUUUAUGUUAAUCUAAUAUUCGUCAUGACUAUAAGUACGUACAAAAAUAUAAUUUUUAUUACUCCCAUAUCAAAUAUAUAUAUAUAUAUUUUUAAAAGUAAUAUAAUUCCUUAACACUACAAUGAAAAGUUGAUAUUAUUAAAAAUAUAUCAUAGCUUAAGGGUCAAUGAAGCAUAGCUUAAGGCCAGUUUGGUAGUGUUGUAACUUUUAAUAUAAUUGUUGCUGGCUAUGCAUUAGAAAUAAUAAAUUGUGAAAUAAUCAAUUAACAGUUUAGUAAAAUUUAUUUUUAAAAGUAUUGUGAAUUUUAUAAUACAAAUGAUUGAACUGGAUAUAAUAUGAAAUAAAAUUUAAAUAUAUAUUAUCUAUAUAUUUUAAAAAAUUUACCUAACACUAAAAUUAAUUUUCAAAAUUACUUUUGGACUUAAAAAAAAAUCUCAAAUGAGCCGUUAAAGAUGUUCAUCUCAUUGUUGGAAAAUUAAUUGAACAUGUUUAAAUAAUAUGUCUUAAAGGUGAUAUCUAAUCAGCACAUUCCCUCUAUUAUGAUGGCACUUGAUAUUGACCAAGUGCCAAUUAAUAUGAUUCUUUAAUCAAAAUUUAAGAAAAUAAACAUAAAGUUUAAACCAAAUCCCCCACCCAAAAAAUAAUUAUGGUAGCAAUUAAACUCAAAAAGUCAUACUAUAAUUAGUUGCUUAAUCCUAUGAAACAUUUCUCUAAAUCUUAAGUCAUUGAAAUUAAAUUUGAUGAUAUCUUAGUAAGUCUCAACAAUUAUUUUUUUGGGUUAUUUUCAUCAACUCAAGAUAAUAUUAUUUUUUUGGGUUAUAUAUAUAUAGUUUAACAAAGAUGUAGUCGAAGGAUUUGCUCAAAAUGUGGGUGGUUGAUAGAUUCCAAAGUUCCAAGCAGAGAGAGUAUAAACCAUAACAAUCAUUCAGACAUUCACCAUAACAAGUCUUAUUAAGAGUUCGAGGGGACAAUUAAACUGAACAAUGGUAUAAAUAUUGUUAAAAUACAUUCAGGAUCAUAUCGAUCAUUAAUGCUUAAACCAGACCCAUAUAAUAUUUUAUUUAUUUUUCCAUACCUAGACUUUCGAGAAUAACAGAGGAACAUUCAAAUAUUGUAAAAAUGAAACAAUCAUUUCAGUCUGCAUUGACUUUAGAAUUAGGAGGAAGCAACCCAUUAAUGCAUAAACUAAACACAGCCAGUCAAACACAGAGAUAAACAAAUAAAAUAACAAAGAAGUUGCCAGUCGAAGAGGUUUUAAUUUAAUUACAGAGACAAAAAGGAAAGAUGAGAUUUUAAAUGCGGUCGUGGACCGACCGAACGAAACCCAGCAGCACAUGAAUGAAGUUUCAACUUCCCCAGUCGGAACAGAAAACUUGCCGUCGAAGAAUUCAAAUUUCAGUUCAACCCUCUUAAAAUGGCAAAAACAAUACAACUCUCUCUCUCUCUCUUUAUUUCGAAGAAAAGAAACAGAAAUUACGCGGCACAUCAUCUGUUAAGUAAUUUGACUGAGAUACGAUAUGGAGGCUCAGGCUCUUCAAAUCCAUGUCACCGCAUGGACCGCUUCUAAAUUAACGCACAAGAUGUCUAGUUUUCAAUAGAGAACUAUACAAUAUUAUGGUGGUAUUUCAGUGCACAAGAUUUCUCCGGGUAUAUCAUCAAUAUAUAAACUUAUGUACAAAGUACAAUUUAAUCAGUUAUUCGGUUUAGAUAUAAACAAAAUUUUUUUGUUCGAUACUUCCUAUUUGAGAAAAAAAGAAGAGCCAAAGCCUUAUUAUUUGAUAAAACUAAUUGAACUCUUUAAAAUACAUCCAAACUUUCAUGAGUAUCAAUUUUUUUUUUUACUAAUCGUACGGUUGUUUGAUGUUGUCAAUAUAAAUGCCUUUAAUUAUUUAAUUAAUUAAAUAAAUUUAGAAUCAUAAUUAAUUAAAAAAUUAAUAAAAAUUCUAAAAAUUAUUUAAUUAAUUAAAUAAUUUAAAAGCAUUUGUAUUCUCAACAUCAAACAACCAUCAAGGCUAAAAUAGUAAGAUAGCAAAAUAAAAAAAAAAUUUGAUAUUCAAGAGAAUUUAGAUAUCUUUUGAAAUAGGAAGAGAAUUUUUAUUAAUUUUUUCAAAUAUCAAGAGGUUCUCUCCUUUUUCUCUUCCGACUUAUUUUCAAAGAAGCUACAUCGUAUUCUCUCUCCUUCUUCUUAGUUCCGAAUCUUAAAUCUUUCACCUUCAAACAAUUCGUAUCUGCCGCAUGCCAUGUCAGGCAUCAUUCUUAAUAAGUGAUCGACGCGUAUAUAACUACAGUAGUUCGAUAAUCAGUCAGGAACAAAAGUUUUACCUUAUAAUAAAAACCAAUGAGUCUCACCAACAUAUAAUAAUAUAAUACCCACUCCCUCUUGAUUCUUAAACUUAAAGAUAGUAAGUCUUCCCACGAUCCUUUUCAUCAUGGGCGGAUGUAGCAUGUGACUGGUGGGGGCUCAAGCCCCCACUGGCCAAAUUUUUUUUUUUAAAUAGAAGAGAAAAAUAUUUUAAUUUUUUAAUUAGUCCCCGUUAAAUUCAUUAAAAUAGUCACUAUAAAAUAUAAACCCCCAUAAAAUUUAAACUUUGACUUUUAAGAAUUAUAAAAACUUAUAUUUUAAUUAAAAAUAAUGAUAGCCCACGACUCAAAAUAUUUUAUAUUAUAAAAAAUAAGAUUAAUUCUUCUAGUUUCUAUAAUAAUAAUAGAACGAACGUUUUCAAUAAUGAAACUCAUGAAAAAUCAUCUUUGGAAUGGAUGGGAUAAAUGAUAGUCUAGUUGUUUAUAUAAGAAACAAUAAAUUUAAUAAUAUUGAUAAUGAGUCUAUUACAUAACAUUUUUAAAAUAUAAAAAUGCGUAGAGAAUAAUUAUAAAUGUAUUAGAAAAUAUUUUAUAUAUUCAAAAUUUUAAUUUUUUAUAUUUUACUAUUAUUUAAUUUAGCCCUCGGUAAAUUAUUUUUCUAAAUCCGCCACUGCUUUUCAUGGGCUCCAAUCGAAGCAAAGACUUAAAAGUCUCGGUGCAUGUGCUUUUUCAAAAUUGGUUAAGGCAUCGGCACUUUGGCAUCUCAGUCGUCUGUGACCUAAUAAUUACCAUUGGCUUCGGUUGAGGUCGGGACUCGGCCAGUCGACACUCCACAAGGCGAUGACUCAUGGUCAUGUCAACGCGUGAGCUCCGUUUCAUUCAUUUUGAUUUGCCAAUUGCUGCCGACCCUGUCCCAUUUUGCAUUAUUAAUUAAUUCUUGCUUUGAUUUCUAAUUAAAUUAUCCAAAUGCCCUUCAAAAAUUCAGGAUUUUCUACCAUCCUUGUUUACAUCAAUAAAUAAAUAAAAAUAAAACAAGAAUGUGUUGAUUGAUAAUAUGAUGUGCGUACAUGUGUUUCUUAGUUACAGCUAAUAUAUAUAUAUAUAUAUACACAUGUAUGUAUCCGAAGUCCUGACGAGGAUUUCAACUCUUUUAGAUGGUAUCAAUUAGUUAAAUGAUGAGUCGUCUUUACGUUAAAAAAUUAUUACAUCCGAGUUUGAUUCGACUUAUACGUACAGAGCUACAUGCGAGAAAAACGACACUAAAGUUUUUGGAGUAAAUAACACUCAAUUCGAUAACAACGUAACUUAAUUAUAUAAUUUACAACCAGUGAUUGACAUUUUUCUCCAGUUUGUUUUGCAGUUGGAGUUACGUUCUUAUGUUUAUAUCUUCCUUGAUCUCUUUCCUAGAUUGGAAGAAGAAAUUUUAUUUAGAAAUGACAAAAAUCCAAUAAUAAGUUGACGAUGCGGAACGAUAAGAGAUUGAUAGUUAAGAGAAACUAAAUUUUUGAAUAAUAAAAAUUUUAUUAAAAAAGUUUAAAUGGACAAAAUCAAGGAUUAGAGCCCUUUUAUACUAAUCAUAAGUAUAGUAAAUUUAUAAAAAUAGGCAAUCUUGAAAUAUUAUCUUAUAAUAAAGUUCUCCUAAUUAAAAUAAGAAAAAUAAAAUAAAUGACAGCGAAAUUCGAUAUCUAAAAAAAGAUAAAAUCCUGAAAGUAAUAGAAAAAAAAAACUACAAAAUGAUUAGGGAAAAAAUGGAAUUUUCUGUUUAAUUACGGAAAAAAAUUUGAUGUAAAUAGUUCUGAAUUUGGUUUCUCUCAUCGCAAGCUUUGAAACAAUACAUUAUACACCUAAAAUAAAAAUCUGUAAUCCAUGUUGUGACCUCCAGAAAAUACCCUGUUCAUCAUGUGCAACCAUCCCUCGUCACUAACUCACAAGCUAACUAACCCGACUGGUUUCUCAUCAAAAUUGAAACUUUAUUCAGUCGAUGCAACAAACAUACUUCGGAUAUAGAAGGGAGCAUUUGGCAAGCUCUGCUCUCCUUGUUUGACUGGUAAGGACAUACCUCGAGUGAUAUGCUUAAUUAAUUUGCAUUUCUUUUAUUUGGGUAUUUUGUAAUUAUUAAUUUGUGCAGGGAUAGGCGUAGGGCAUACUUACAGGCCAAUGAAAGAAGUUCAAUUAGUUGGAGAUUCCUAAACGAAUAUAGAAGGUGGGGGAAAAAAAAAGACAGUUUCCAGGUUUGACCAGCUGGAUAUAACACCAUUAAAGAACAAAUGAACUCUAACAAGCCUUACAAAACAAUGCAGCACAAAGAGACUUUCUAAUCCACAAUUUAAUAUAUCUUGGCAUCCAUAUAUGUAAUGUUGGUGGUUCCUAGGCCUUACAGCUUAGGUGAGAAUUGAAAUUUUGAUUGCCGUUAAUCGGGGUUAACAUCUGUCAAAACAAUGUGAUCAACGGUCCCACAGCAAGGAUAUCAUUUGCCAUAUGAAUAUGACAGCAAUUCGAUAGGUGCAACGGCUAAUUUUGGCCAGUUAAUCAAUUAUGUACGGUUUUAACAAGUAGAUAAAUAAAGUCGUGGGUGGACUAAAAAGGGGUACGGGAUUUAGCCAUUUUGGUAGAGAGGCAGCGGACGUGUGAAAUGAUAUUUUGUGCGAUGGAGAAGAGGUGUGAAAAAAGAAGGGGUUGGUGAACAAUGCGAAGCUUAGUUCGUUCAAUUCAGAUAUAAUGAGUAUCAAUUAUCAAAUGAUGAUACACGUAAAACUCGCGUGCGGUAUUUGAUUGAAACCAUAUUCUGCAAGUUAGAUGGCCAAUCUUUUAGAUAAUAUUCUUUUAAGAAUCAGUAGUCGACAUUCAAUUCUUGUCCCAAAAAAAAAAAAAAAAAAAAGAACGAAUCACAUUUCAAACCAUCCCGGCCCACUUCUUUCAUUUCCAUCUCAAGCUUUACACACCAUUUCAUCAAUAAUUUAAAAAACUCGGCAUUUUCAUUCAGCUCUCAAAGUUGAAACACACUUGCAGUUCCAUGGAUUCCCCAAGCUCCGACACACUAAAAUUCGAAAUAUGGCUCAGUCAAAUAUAUUAAAUCCAGCAGCAACUGAACUUCAACAGUCAUUACUGGCUGAAAUUCAAUCAGCCAAUACAAUUCAGCAGUAGCCAUUUAACAUCAAGCAGAGGCAACAUUGGCCUUGUUAAUGGUGUGUGUUUGAAAGUAUCACACAUUAAACAUAAUGGAAGACGACUCAAACUUACAUCUACCUACAUCUAUGGUUGAGUAAACAAUGAUGCAAUAUCUUUUCAGUUAAAGGCUUACGCAAAAAAGAUGACGUAUCAUCUGAUCCUUCCAAAAAAUGUGUCAAAUGGGAUUAUUUUGAGCUCUGCUGCAUGCCAUUUAUCAAUAAUAUUUCCUGUCUCACACGUUGUAGGAUUCAUUAGCUAGUAACUGAUCAGGCCUGAGGUAAUUGCCCUUCAUGAUUAAAAUCAUUUAGUUAGUACGUAUCUAAUUUUGGUCAAAUGAGUCAAGUACAGAAUGUAAAUGAAAAAAGAAGAAACACUCACCAUCAUCAUGUACAGUGUUCCGAGUUGCAUUGGCAGUUUCAGUAGCUAAAUCCUCCUUGAUUCUUAGUGCCUGAUCUCUUCUCCUCCUUGAUUCUCAGUGCCUGAACUCACUACAUUGGCAUAUAACACUCUGUCAAUAACACAAGACAAACAACAUUCCAAAAAGCAAUUUCCGUUUCGUCAACAACCUUAUAACAGACACUGUCAUCCUGUACCAAUUUCUACAACAUACACCCUUAAUUGUGCAUCAAUCAUUUCUGCUCAUUCAAAUGUCGUUAAACGGGAAUUUAAAGUUAAAUCAGAAUACAUAACAUAACUCAGACUUCCAGCAAAGACGAAGGGUAACAGGAAUAACUAAUGCUUUUGGUUUAAAAACUCUCUGAAUUAGUCGCCACCCUCCUUUCACUUUCUGGCCACCAUUGUGGCCUCACCAGCUGUCGUUGGUGGUGACUAGCCACUGCCGGCACCACCCCUCACUGCCACCCAACCAGCUGGCAGCCCAUUUGCCAAACAUUGCCGCUCCAAAUCGUAAUCCAAGUUCACAGCUUCCCCAUCAAAAUCUACCAUUGCCAUCCACCCUUAGCACCAUGCAUUUCCUUUUGGCCGCCGCUCGCUCUCACUCUCAGCCAUCAACCGGUCCUUUGACUACAACAGCCUGCAAAAAUCUAAAUCCGACCCUUCACCAAAACCCUAGCUUGCUUUCUCUUCACCAAACACAAACUCUUGCAGCUGCCCCUCUCUUCCUUGGCUGCUCACUCCUUCACAGAUAAUGGUUGCUGCCCUCCUUUGUUGCCUCCACAGACUCCACAAAGCCAACAAACAUCCAACUCCCACUUGGCGGUCACGAUUCCAAACCUGCCUUGUACUCACACUUCCAUGCAAAACCCUAAUCCACCUAAAUCUAUCCACACACGUGGCAAUAUGUAUGGUUUUGACAAUCAAACAGCCCAUACACCAUUCUCACAUCCUCAAGGCCAAACCCGCAACCCCAUUACCUCUUCUAAGCCUUCUUAUGCCUCCAAAGUUAACCCAGCGGCUUUCCUUAACCCCACUGCCCCUCAUAGACCUCAAAAAUCUUUCGUUGAUAUUGUUGUAGGCUCCUCCACACCUUCGAUUCUGGUUAAGCCUAGCAUUCUACGCAGAGGUGAACCUGCUGUUCACUUUUCUGCUACUGAAGCCCUAUCCAUGGCCAAACCUUUCAAGCUAUCUCUAGUGGGUAAGUUCUCUUUUGACCGUCUCCUAAUAAAUGUUAUAAGGAAGUCUUUUUUCUUCGAGCUUGAAAGAGUCUACUCAAGUUUCUUUGUUAGACAAUAGACAUGCCUUGAUUAAGUUUCAGGCCUGCAGUCAGAGGAAGAUUACUCUCGAAUUUGGCUAAGGCAGUCAUGGUAUGUCAAUGGUAGAGCUAUGAGGAUUUUCAAAUAGUCCGCUGCUUUUUGCUGUUCUCAAGAGUCUCCUGUUGAUCCUUAUGGGUUUCUUUGCUUAUUUACUUGUUCGCUUCAUUCAUUGCAAGAAGCCUUAUAUUCAAUUGCUGCUAUUAUUGGUAAGCCUCUUCAUGUUAAUCAUGCUAGGGCCUCUUCUAAUAGUUCCUUUACUGCUAGAAUCUUAUCUUGGUGGAGUAUGAAAUCUUGCGGCUUUAUUGCCGCAUAUAUGGAUUAGUGGGGGUGAUUUUUGAAUUUUGGUAGGAUGUUGUAUUUGAGAGGGUUCCCGAUUAUUGUGAUUCCUGUAAGGUGGCCACUCCAUUGAUGCCUAUUAUGUAAUUAAUCCUGCGCUUCGAAAGCCCCAAAAGCCUAUUGAUCAAGCGCAAGUUAUAAUUGUUCAGGACAAGGGUAUGAAACCAACGUCAGAUGUAGAUGUGCAGUCGGGGGUGACUCCUGCUUCUCAGAAUGUAAUUGUUGCAAAUAAUCACCCUAAGGACCUAUUUUUAUCCCCUUUUAUGAUUUGGAUACUACUGCCUAGGUUUUUGUGAAUCAAGGUCAAAGCUUUGGUUCGGUGCUACAGCCUAAUUCUAUUGAUAAUCUGGUUAGGUACAGGAUUCUGUGCUCCAGGUUAAGUCUGAUGUGGCUGUUGAGCCUAAAUAUCACGAUGAUUCUCCUCUGCAGGGUCCGGUUGAUCAAACUAGUGAUGUUGGAGACAUGGUUUUGGAUGAUCUAGGUGUUGAGAGAGUUUUCACAGGCUCCAAUUGCUUUGAAUCUGCAGUGGAAGAUUAUCGGAAUAUGGCUGUGGGCUUCAAAUCGCACUACUAACAUUCCUUUCCAAUUUGAAGAGGAUUUUAGUUCCGAUGGAAAACCUGUAGCUAAUGCAUAUUUCUUAUCUAAUCCUGAGGUCACUAGAGGGCUUGAACUUAGCCUCGACUUCAGUGUUGUUAGCCCGCAUGCCACUGGUUCAGAAAAAGAUUUCACUUUAGUUACUGGUCGCAAGUAUCGAAAAGAGACAGUCUCUCCAUUAGCUUUUUCUUGCCUCCGUGGUGGUUCUUUUCUAAGGCUUUGUGCUUGUCUUGUCUUUGUUUGGUGUUUUUGGUCUCGUUGCUUUUUUAUAUCUUUUUUUUUGGUUGAAUUGUUCAUUGCCUUUAGCUUGGAGGUUUUGUUUCUUGAACCCCUCAAGAUGCUUGGUUCUUGAUCCCCUUAAUAUGUUCUUCAUUUAUUUUUAUCAAUCUACAAAUAAGAGGGUUCGCCUAGCCACCACCCAUUUCUUUUGGUAGUCUUUAGUUAAAAAAAUGAAAAAUCAUCAGGUCAUAUCAAGUAGAGCCUUUAUAAUAAAUCCAUCUAUUUCUUUUUCUGGAACCUCUACAAGCUGUAUUAAUAACAACAUCAUCCACCUAUGUGCCUCCAUCAAACACACGCAUCUUAACUGUUGUCUGUUGACACUGCCAAAUUUAAUUUCAAGCUUAAAGGCAUUCCCAAACGACCAACACCGUGAACCCUAAAGCCUAAAAUCACUAAACACAAACGUCGAGCCACCCAUUUUCAAAUUUUUCAACCCAAGCAUACGAAAUACCAGAUUAGUGCAAAAAUGGCUUCAAGCAAUUUUUUUUUAACAAAGAAUAUCCAUUUAUUUGAAUUGAUUAUGACUAAAAUGUCAUUUUAUCGUAUUGCCUUCAUUGACCGCCUGCAAAUUUAUACAGGAGAGAAAAGUGAAAAUACAUUCAUAAGUUUGAAACUUUAUCAAGCUAAGAACACGGUAAACUACGGGCAAGGAUAAUAAAAAGGGUCCGGCUGCAUUAUAAAGUUGAGCCACUCACCCCCGGCUUUAAUUUCUUCCCUUAAUUUAAAUAAAAUAUUUAUUGAAUAUUAGAGGAGAUAAAAUUUAUUAUAUAAAAUUUAUAAAUUUAAUACUAAUAAUUAUCUAUUUAUAAAAUAUUUUUAUUAUAUUGUAUUCAUUUUGUGCAUAUAUUACAUGUGUGUAUAAUUACAUAAUAAUUUCUUGGAUCUAGGCCACUUUAGUUUCAUUUGAGUAGACUAUUAUUUAUGAGCCUGACUGACAUGAAACCCAACUCAUUUUAUGCCUUGGAUUUGGAGGCUGGAGCUCAUCCUAGCAGUGGAUUCGAAAAUUAGAGAACUUUCACGAAUCUAACUACUGAUAAUGUAUUCAAGAAUUUUCGCUGCUUUUUCUUUUUUGCAUUUCUUUGUAUUUAAUGCUUUUUAUUUGCUCAUUAUCCUUACUGUUAAGAAAAUGUUAAUGUCAAAGACAGUAAAAAAGAGCUAAUAAGUGACCAUAGGGAAAAUAAUGGUUUUAUGUUGCAUUUACUUGUCAGUAAUCGGAAUGAACUAAAAUGAAAAUGAGAAUGGGGAAUAGAUUGUUUAUUUGGGUUAGAGAAAUCAAAAUUGGAAUGGGCUUAGAUCUCAUUGAUGCGUUUAUUUUAUCUUAGAAUCGAAAUCAGAAUGAGUUAAAUUGUUUUAAGUUACUAAAACGUCCUUAGUUAAUUAUAAUAAUAACUAUCAUCGUCAUCAUUUGUGAUUCUUAUUAUUAUAAAAAUGAUUGUUAAUAAUAAUAAUAAUAAUAUUAAAAAUAAUAUCAUUAAUAAUUUAUUAAAAUAUCCUUUAUUAAUUAUUGUCAUUUGAUGAUGAUGAUAACAAAAAAUAAUAGUAAUAAUUAAUAAAUUAACAACAACAAUUGAAUUCCAUAAUAAUAAAUUUUUAGUUUUGUUUUUUUUUCAAUUUAUAUUUUUUAAUUUCCAAAGAGGGUAUUUUGGUAUAUUUAAAGUGUAAUGGGGUUAAUGUUGUCAUUUCAAGGAAUGGGUUUCCCAUUUCCAACCUCUCUCGGAAUCACAACUCUAGCAAUCAAUUCAAAAUUUAUGUAGAGCCGGCAAAACUCAUUUCCAUUCCUAACCUUAAUUUAGCAAGUAAAUAAGUUAUCCAUUCCUAAACUCAUUCUUAAUUUAGCAAGUAAACACAACAUUAAUUGAUUGAUUUUACAAACUACAUUCGUAGUUUAUAUGACAUUUAGGCAAAGUGUACGGAUUUAACUGUGAAUUACCCUAUGAAUGAGUUGGGGUGGGUGUGAUUACAUCAAACUGGGGGUGGAAAUAUCAAACAGAACUUCCUAUCACUCAAUGAGGCCCAUCAAAUUUAACAAGGAGCCCAUUAAAUUUUUUUAGUCGUCUUUUUAUUUACCAGUCUGUCUUUGUUUUGCUGGCAAGAAAAGCACGUGUGCAAGCGACCCAAUAGGUGACGGUGAAUUUAGUGAAUGUUCCCUUACCAACUGGCCAUCUGUCUCUUAGUGGGCUGAUAUAUAUAAGACAACACGAGGUGACACAAAGUCACAACCUUCACGUGUGGGGUGGGCCUUUCUGUGUGAUCGCUCAAAAGAAAGGGAGAGACCAAAUUUUGUGGUGCAAGUGAUUUGGGUCUCUUUUUCUUGGCCUUGUAUGUGUAGUGUGACAAAUCAGAAAUCAACAGAUGACAGAACCUGUAAUGCAAAAACAUUUUAGGAUGGGGGGGGGGGGUCAUCCUAUGUCUAUGUCAACCUCUUUUAUGGGCAUCAACAGCUGCUGGUAUGUUAUCACAUGGAGCCCAAUUCUGCCCUCCACAUCUGCUUUACCUUCUGCAAACUUUUGUUUCCCACCCUUGAUGUUGGAGAAAUUUUAGAGUGCAUCAAAGCCUCUACAUCUAAUUAAUAUAUGUAUGUCGUGUAUGUUUUUAUAUUGAAAAAAAUUACGAUAUAAUUGGUAGUUAUAUUUAAUUGAACUACAUGUGUCAUGCAUAUAUUAGUUGAACAUAAUACAAUCGAUAAUUCUAAAAUCUCUCUUUGUUGUCAAAAGUAAUUUCUUAUUUUUUCCAAGAAGAAUGUUGGUCUAAGUAACUCACUCAUAAUUGAGAUUUAAUAUUUUCUUAGUUAGUUUUUUUUUUUUUUUUUUGGAGCACACUGAUUACUGAUAGAUGUAUAUUAGCAUGCUAUUGAUAUUUAUAAUAAAAUAUCUAUUGAAAUUACCUUAAAUCAAAUCUCUUAUGGUGCAAUCUAUAUUUUAUCGAAAGAGUAAAUAGUCCAUAUUAUGAGACAAAUUUAUCAUUACAAAAUUAUAUUAAUGAAAAAAAAUUAGAGUAGGUAAGUAUUCUAACUUAAAGAAACAAUGAAAAAUAGACACACACACACACAUAUUAAAUUGAUUACAAAUAGCUUCCAGUAAUCCUCCGUGUCCAUGGUCCAAGCAGUUUUGGACAGCCGCGGCCCCCAUGGGUGAUCUAAUGACUAUUCAUUGUACAAUUUCAGCCACAAAGUCCUUUCUCAAUAAAGAUAUCAAAUAGAUAACAUAUACUGUAAAGUUUUAACCUCGAAUCAAAGAGAAAGAAAGAAUUGGAAGACUCAUUCCAGCAAGUGCCAGAGCCCUCCUUCUUUAUUUAUUUAUUUAUUUUUUUAAUGUAAAGGUUGACCAAGACAUAAUCUAAAUUUGGUGUUGAUGAUCCCCAUAAGAAUGGGACCUCCAUGCAUGAUUACAUUUAUCUUUUCCGAAAGUGGGUUUAUAUGAUCAAAUAUGCUUAGGUUUUUGCUUAUAAUAUCAAAAUAUAUAUUAAUCCAUUGGGGUGAGGGACCGAAGACCUAUCUGCAGAAAAGCAGUUUAUAAUCAAGGAGCUGGCUAUGUUGGAUCUGUAUGUUACAGAAUCUGUAACUUAGCCAGCUCCUAUAAUCAAACAAAGUAUUAGAGAAUUUUCAAAUCAAUGGUUCUAUAUCCUUUGAAGGGCACACUAGAGCGCAACAAGUACCAUGGGAAAAUUAACAGUAAAAAUUAAAAAAAGAAAAAGUUUCACUGAUAUUGAAUAAUGUAAUGAUUGGACACUUUCAAUUUCGAUUCCAAAAGCCAUCAAAGCUCAAGUCACAUGACACGUAUACUUAGGAUCUCAUCAUGGAAGAUUUAAUUUUAUCUUGACCGACCACCUAAGUAGUUAGUUACAAGGCAUCUCAUACACAACAUGAUACAUAUCCUUAUGAACUUUAUUAAAGUUGAUAAGAACCCGCACCUGUUAUUAAAAGAAGGGUCAUGAAAAGAUCGAUUCACUGUUUUUCUUUUUCUUCCUUUUAUUUUUUAAUGGAGCUCUCUGAGAUUGUGUAACGCUGGGUGCUAAUUUAAUACAACAACAAUAAUCUAGAACUUUGUGCUUGUGUCAGACAGUUUGUGGAGAGCAAAGGAAACGAAGAGUUUAGAAUAAGCUUAAGAACAUUAUCAUGUCUAAGAUUUUAAUCAGUGAUUCGUUAAAACAACAUGAUUAAAUUUGAAUAGUACUAUACAUUUUAAAUUUUUUAUCUUAAGAAACUAUCUCAAAUGACAUGAUAUUUAUCAAGUGAUUGCUUAGAAUAAUACAAUUAAUUCAUUUAAAUUUUUAAUGAAUCAUCAACCAAUAAAUGAAUGACAUAUCAUUUGAGAUGAAAUUUUAAGAUAAAAGAUUUGGGAUAUCUAUUAUUAUUCUUCAAAUUUAGAGUCACUAAAAAAUUAUACGUGUGAAUCGAGAUUUAACUAAAUUUUAUUUAGUGUUUAUCGUUUACGAUCAAGUUAAAUUCAUUUUUUGGUAGAAUUAAUUUAUAAUUUUAUGUGAUAUGUAUUAUCGUGUGUUGAGUAAAAUAUUAAUCCGUGAUUGAUGAUUACAAGACAAGAAUAAGUAAAUCUGAAGAAUAAAAUGAACAUUUGGCGCCGCACACAAGUGGUUAAAGAAAAUUAAAUUCGGACGAAAAAGAAAAAACCAUCAAUCUUAAAUCAUUGCGAAUCAAGUUGACAUCUAAAUUAUUGGUAACACAAACAAACACAUAGUAAUUCUACCAAUAAUUAAUAUAAAUUAAAGAAUUGAAUGUGAACUUUCCGGCAGCCAAACAGCAAAAGAGUGAAUGUCAAGCCAACAGAAACAGUAAAAAGAAAAAGAAGAUAAUGUGUCUUUCUAGCCAUGUAUGACCAUAAGCAGUUAAAAGGGGGAAGCAAAUGAUGAUUGGAUUACUGCUAAUGAUGGACAAAAACAUAAGCUACCUCAUACAAAUCACUUUUUAUUCAUUUACUUACAUCUCCGUUUCGGUCAAUAAUAAGCAAAAGCAGGGAACCCAAUUGUCGUGUCACACUCAUCUUGCCCAUCCCAUGCGCUGCACGCGAAUCUUUGACAAUGCAUGGGGAGUUGGUGACUUAGGGAUACGAGUUAUAUACAAAUCCCAUCAUUUACCACCUACUAAUUGUGAUUUUCAAGCGUUUUAGCUUUUUACUCUUUGACUAAUUUGCCAAGUAAAUAUAACUGUAUCCGAAAUCAACUAAUGUACCCCAUUAGGGUUUUUGCUUGGACCAACCAAUGACUGGAGGUGGACACAAAUCUGCAACGUGUGCAGGAUUGAUCAAAAUCAGAUUUUAAUCAGCUGAAACACAAAGAGCCCACAUGAUGUAUGAAUACAUGAGAUGGGGUUACCACCUUGGAAAAGCUGAAAGUGGUUUUCGUUCAAUUUCAUGGUCCCUUUGUUAAAAUUUAAGUCGGAAUGUUACAAUUCAUAGACUCUGCAAAUCUGGUUCAGUUUUGUGGGGGCGUUUGUCAAUUUACAUGCCCUCUAAUACGGACAAAAUCUCAAGACUCAAGACUUAAAAAGGAUUAUAAGAGACAAGACAGCGAUCAAAGAAAAUUAAAGCUACGCUUGUGACGUUUUGUUUAUACUUUUUAGAUUAAUGUCUGGCAGCGGCAGCAACAGUGGCCCAACUGGCCUAAUGCUGAAUCAUGUAAUUUCAGUGUCCCUGCCUCUGUGGCGUCUUGUAGUUAAUUUGUUGACUCCAAGAGAGAAUUUAUGAAAGGCAUGGAGAGCUAUUAAAGCAGUGCUGUGUGGUAUAUCUAAAGCUUUGAUAAAUCAGUAUCAAUACAGGAAGCAGAUGUCAGAAUAUGCAUGAUUCAUAUCUCUAUUCUGCUUGAUUUUUAUUUGAUAAUUUUGUAUUACUAGUGAUAUAUGCAUGCUAUAAUUGGUAUCAUUAUAAAUGUACGAGAUUGGCAUACCGAAUAUUGCGUGAUGAUGCUGUCUCUAAUACUAGCCACAAUUUCUUUUGAAUUGAAACUAAUGGCAAGCUUGCGAAUGAACAGAGAUAUAUAGAAGAAGUAGAUAAUCAACUGUAUAAUGCAUUAUGCAUGUAUCCAAUGCAUUAGUUUUGCUUUGUAUACGUUUCCUUGGUUGCAAUAAUUUCAAUUUGAAUCUCAAGCUGGCAAUGUUUCGGCCAGCAGUAUCAGCAUAUCUUUAUAUCACAGUGAUUAAGCCCAAAAGAGGCCAAAAUCCAAACGGAACAGUUAACCAUUUUAGGGUCGUGGCCGUCACCAUUCAAUAAUGUAAACAUUACAGAAGAUUCUCAGUCCCUUCUACAACUUUUUAAAGGGCGUUUUUCCUGUUAUAGAUCUGUAAUUAAGUAUAUCUCAAAAUCAUUUUUAAUGAAAAAAUAAAAGCAUAUCGAUCUCCGGAAGAUUGUAUGGUCCUGAAAAUUUUGCUUUAUCCAUCAUGAUACAAGUACCUUAAGAUCUAACAUGAUCUAGCCCAGGAGAUUAUGAAAUUUUGACCUGUUAUAGAUCCAUAACAAUCUUUGAUCUACUUGUAGACAAUAUCACAUAGUGUCGCUUGAUUUUAUUAUUCUUUUAUGCUGUAAGUUUGGUGUAACGCAUUAAGCUUAAAAUAGAUGCUUCAACUUGAUUCUUGUAUUGCCCACAUGGGUUUGCUCAAGUGAUUUUUAAAUAAUUUUAUUUGGGUGGCCACGAGAGUUUGAAUCUCAAAUGUCGUAAGUGACCCAACUAAAUGCAUUAAUCAAUUUCAACUCUACGCAUUUCAGCACAGUCUCACUCUCUAAAAGAUAAUUGGUUUAGACAUUGUUCACUCUUAAUUUUUGAAAUGAAUAACAAUAAGGGAAUUGAUUCUUUUGUUAUUAACCACUCUUUGAUCAAGUGGUGAACUCCAACUUUAUUAUUGAGAUGGAGGGUUUGAGUCUUCUGUAUUUUUUAGAAGUAGAUUUUAUAAGUCAUUGUAAAAUUUAUGGUGCAACUAUUAGUCAAUUUGUAAUAUAAUAUUAGGAAAAAAAGAGAGGAGAGAAUACGAUUCUAGUAUCAUUCUUGUGUGACGCAUAAACAAAAUUAAUAUAUGAUUAGUUUUAAGUGGUAUGCAUACAAUGUAAACAAUAAAUUGUGUCGUAUUUCAAAUUCAUCCAUACUAUGUUUGCUAUUGAAUGAAUAAUUUUUUGUUUUUUUUAACAUUCAUGGUAUUGAAGUUACUGGUUAUGAUGGCAGUUAGCUCAGCUGAUAAUAUCUCUCAAAUGGUACAAAUCAAUUCGUGAUUUUAACUCAGCUAAGACACAUGCUUUAUUAAAAAAAUAAUUAAAUAAUUACAACGAUAUUGGUUACAUUUUGUCAAAAUACGAUUACAUUCAUGUGAUACAUGCAACCUGUAAAGGGUCCAAAAUAAAAGAGAGCAAGAUACAAGGGACCCACAUAGCGGGCCCAAGAGGGCCCUUUGAAAAAGGCCACUGUCGGUUGGCCGCCCCGAUGGGUGGCACUGAGAAGGACCAUUUACCAUUACAUUGCCCACCAUUUCAAUUGUGGAUUGCCCAUUUUUCACGUAGUGUUGACAUCAAAAUUUCGCCCACUCACUCAAUUCACAAUUACCCUCGCUUCGCUGCUGAAAUUUCAAUAUUGCCACUUGCCUUACUUCAAGGUUGGUGCUGAUCGAGCCUCGACGUAAUUGGGUGCCAUUUUCCCUUGUGAUCGUGUCGAGAAUUGGUGUGACAUAAACUGAUUGUGGUGCCGUACCGCAUUUGUUCCAUUUUAGAGGAAAGAGAAUAUAUAUAUAUAUAUAUAUAUAUAUAUAUAUAUAUAUAUAUAUAUAUAUAUAUUAAUAAUAAUUUUUUUGUACACAAAUGACAUGCUUAGGAGUCUGAAUUGAAGUGUGCUUCUGUUUCAUUGAUUAGAUGAAUUGAUUAACUACGUCCUUUUCCAAGAAUUUAAUUAAUUACAUGAAUGAAUGAAUAAAAAAAAAAUUAAGAUCGUUACAAGUGAUUUUUCUUGUUUCCCCCCUACUUCCGUUUUGAUGAUGAAUGAAAUGAGUGCUUUGACAGCUUGAGGAUUAGCCUUAUCACUCCAUGCUGUUUGCUUUCCAAAUCUUUAAUAAGGUUUAAGAGAUAAUCGACGUAUUAUAAGCUGGAAAAGUAACCAUUUCAUCAUUUAAUGAUGUAGACAAACAAAUUUGGGCUAGAGAGUCCAAGUUGGCUCACAAUUAACGUGAGAUUUACCUCUCUUGAUUAAGCAACGAGAAUUUCAUUUCCCUAUUUGCAUAGUUUAUCUAAUGGUUAUAAGUAUUUAUUUAAUCUUAUAAACUCUUAUCAUAAUUUUUAUUAUUAUUUGAUUAUCUUUUUAGUAGUGCCUUUAGAGCAUAAAUAAACUAUUUUGUCUCUACUAGUAAAAUCUCAAAUUUUAGAUUUUUUUUAAGAGUAGAUGUUGAAAAGAUUUUUUUUAAAUAUUAAAAUAUCUAAAAUAUCAUCUACUUAGUUGACAAUUUUAUUUUAUUAUCUUCGUAACAUAAUUUUUUUUAAAAUUACCUAUUAAAAUAAUUUCAUAGAUUUUUUAUAAAAAUUCUCAUUAACAACCAAACAACUAAAAUUUUUUAAAUAAAAAUUCUACUGUCAAAAUUUUAACUGAAAUAAACUAUACUUAAAAAACUGUACCAAAUAAAGCCUUAAUCUCGAACAUAUAUCAUAUUAUAUGAUAGCAGAACUUUAGAUUAAAAAUAUCCUCUUAAAUCUUAGUUCUUAAAGACAUAUCUUUGUGAGAACACCUGUAACUUUCAAGAUGGUUGUGAUAUUCGCAACUUCAUCUCUCCUGAUUGUCCAAUGGAGCCCAGUUUCCCAUCAAUCUCAGCCGUAAUGAUGAAAGUCAUCGUUAAGUAUUCAGACAAAUUAAACGAAGCAAAAUAAUGAUGAUAAAGAAAAUAAAAUAAGAGAAGUAUAAUUAUUUUUAUUUUGUUUGUUUGUUUGUUUGUUUUUUUUUUUUUUUUUUAAGUAAACCUUGAGAAUCCAAUGCAAAACAUAUUGACUAUGACCUUUAACUGCCUGAUAAUAAAAGUCACAGCUUAGCAGCAUUUCAUUAAUGAAACUUUAUACCAAAAUUUUCUCUUGCAUUACAUUAGUCUAAUAUCAACUGCUGCAUGGUACGUUUAGUGCUUCUUCGUUUUCACACCAAUAGUAUGCAAAUGUGGUCACGGUGCUCGUGGACCAUUUUGCAAUUAAUACAACACUAGGACAUUUUCGAUAUUUUGGGGAAUCGACAAGGGCAAUAUUUGCUUGCUGCCCACUACGUAAUCUAUCUAUAAAUAUACGGCCAUAGGUGAUAGUGAUACACAAAUCCUAUUCCACCUUUUAGCAUCCCUUUACUUUUUUUGGAGGGGGGGGGGGGGGAGGGGGGAUGGGGGGGUUAUAAAAUCUUUAAAGGUAUAUGUAGUAUAAUUUAGAAAGGAAAAUACUUUUGAAAAAAAUAUUAUUAUUGAUUUCUCUUCCUAAUAUUAACUUUUUGAUAUUAAUAUGGAAUCGAGAGGUGUACGAUGUUGCAUAUAAAAUAAAAUAAAAUAAAAUAGUUUUAAGUGUUUUGACUAAAAUAAUCAAGAAGAGGAGGAGGGCACGGUAAUAAAAAUGGUGUGGCAAUGAUGAGAAAGAGGGAGACACAAGUGGGCGCAGGAUAAGCACGUGGGCGACGCCCGCUUUCAUAUUUCAAGCUGGGAUGGCAUUUGCAUUAAGCCCAUUGAACCACAUUCUUGUUCAAGUUUUUAACACUAAACAUAUCUUUUUAUUUUUCUUUCAAAAGAAAAAAGAAAAGAAAGUUGAUACAUACAUGUAGUACAUGAUACCUACAGUUUUGUUAUCUCAAGUUUAAAACUCUUGGUGAAUGAUUGCAGAAAGCUAGCGUUAGAUUUGAGGUUGCUCUUCCUGAGAACUAGCCUUUUUGGUUUUAUCAUGUAUUAAUGUUGUGACUUGUGUGUAAUCUAGCUUCUAGAGCCAAGUGGAUUCAUUCUUAUUAUUAGGAGGGGAUUUUGCCUCUUUGUUUGCAUGUCCAGAUCAGAUGGGUUCGGUCAAAUGACAUAGACUUUGGAGUGUUUGAUCUUCUCUGGGUUUUCUGUCACUUGGACUAUUUAUGCUAUAAAUUUUCUUUAUAUUAAACUCUAAAAGAGUGACAUGUUAUGUUAUAUUAUUGCUGUUGUACCCACAAGAAAAAACUCUUGGUAUUCAUUUCUCCUUCAGCAUCCUCUCUCCUCCAUCAAAAUUCUAUCCUACUUAUUUAUUUGAGUUUUCUGAGUUCUGAAUUUUUGGUCAGGGCCUGGAGAACAUCAUUUUGGCUGGCUGCUGGAUAGACUUUUUCUUUGGGGCGGCUUUUAAUAGGUUAUGAAUGAAGUUGGCUUAUCUGAGUCCUUCUGAGCAUUUGGUUAAGAUAUAAACUUAAGCAAGAGAAGAAAGAGCAGAAGAAUCAGUCAUGAAGUUCAUGAAACUUGGAUCUCGGCCUGAUACCUUCUACACUUCUGAGGCUGUAAGGUGAGAAAAACAUCACUUAUUCAAACAUGACGCUUUCUUGAAUGAAUAUGUUAUUUUUCUUUUCUCUCUCUCUUUUUUUUUUUUUUUCCAGAGAAAGUACAAACAAUUUCUUUUCUGAAUGCAGGUCAAUCUCCUCUGAAGUCUCUAGUGAUCUCAUAAUUCAAGUGAAAGGAACUAGAUACUUGCUUCACAAGGUAAAAUUAGGGAUAUUGAUAUCAGUCGUUUUUAGAUUAUGAUUUUUAGGCUUUAUUUUGAUUGAUUUUUAUUUUAUUUUUUGAAUGUCAUUCCUAUGCAUGCAGUUUCCUCUGUUGUCCAAGUGUUUGCGGCUGCAGAGGCUAUGUUCUGAGUCCCCUGAAUCCUCACAACACCAGAUAGUCCAACUCCCUGAUUUCCCUGGCGGUGUCGACGCAUUUGAACUCUGUGCAAAGUUUUGUUAUGGAAUUACAAUCACUCUCAGUGCCUACAAUAUCGUAGCUGCAAGAUGUGCUGCCGAAUAUUUGCAGAUGACAGAGGAUGUUGAGAAGGGGAACUUGAUAUACAAGAUUGAGGUUUUCUUCAAUUCAUGCAUCCUUCAUGGGUGGAGAGAUUCCAUUGUGACUCUACAAAGCACUAAAGCUUUUCCUUUAUGGUCUGAGGAUCUUGGAAUCACGAGCAGAUGCAUUGAAGCAAUUGCUUCUAAAGUUUUAACUCACCCCUCAAAGGUGAGCUUAUCACAUAGUUACUCUAGGAGGGGAAGGGAUGAUAUAUCUUGUAAUGGUGCGGAGAGCCAAAGGCACAAAGCAUCAACCAAAGGCUGGUGGGCUGAAGAUAUGGCAGAAUUAGGCAUAGACCUUUAUUGGAGAACCAUGAUAGCAAUUAAAUCUGGUGGAAAGAUCCCCUCAAAUCUUGUAGGCGAGGCACUGAAAAUUUAUGCAUCUCGAUGGCUACCUAACAUAUCGAGAAAUGGACGUAUCAAUAAUCACGAAGCAUCAGACUCGGAUUCAGAUUCAGCCACUGAAGUAACAUCAAAGCAUAGGCUACUUUUGGAAUCAAUAAUAAGCUUGCUUCCGGCAGAGAAAGGUUCAGUUUCUUGUAGCUUCUUGCUUAAACUCCUAAAGGCAGCCAAUAUUCUUAAUGCUUCCUCUUCUUCAAAGAUGGAACUGGCUAGAAGAGUUGCACUUCAAUUAGAGGAGGCAACCGUCAGUGACUUGUUGAUACCUUGUCUAUCAUACACAAGUGAUACUUUGUAUGAUGUAGACAUAGUGAUGACAAUAUUGGAACAGUUCACGUUACAGGGGCAGAGUCCCCCAACUAGCCCGCCAAGGUCCAAGCUGGGAUUUGAAAGGAGAAGGUCCCGGUCAGCGGAAAAUAUUAAUUUUGAGUUACAAGAGAGUAGGAGAUCUUCUUCAGCAUCUCAUGGUUCCAAACUCAAGGUGGCAAAGCUUGUGGAUGGAUAUCUUCAAGAGAUUGCCAAAGAUGUUAAUUUGCCACUGUCAAAGUUCAUUACAAUUGCUGAGUCUGUACCAGAAUUCUCGAGGCUUGAUCAUGAUGAUCUCUACAGAGCUAUUGACAUUUAUCUCAAGGUAAACAACGAAUUGGCGUCAAUUGUUUUCAAAAUUUUACCUUAAACUCACCUUUCUAGUUGCCUAAAAAUGUUUAGACAAAUUUCGUUAUCAUGUUUUAGGAUGUGGGUCACCAUUAGCGGUAGCUAACCAACUCCUUGACCUUAGAAUCUUGUCUUGUCUGCAAUUUAUUGGCAGUUGGGAUGUGACUGACCUAACAAAAUUAGCUUGAAUGAAGUCUAGAGCAUGUGAAUAUAGAUGUAUAUUUAGACUUCUUGUUGGUUGAGAGUUUUCUUGCUGUACAAUCUACAGUCGUUUUAAGUCAGAAUAAAACUAGAAUCCUCCUAAGUUUUCAAUAUGGAGUUAAAAGUCCACGGUCCACACAGAUAUAUCUGCAGUGUGACCGGACCUUGCACCUUUGACAUGUUUCCUUUUUCAUACGGCAUGAAUUAUUCACAUUUCUUUGAAUUACGGGGUCAAAAUGAGAUAUUAAAAAAGAAAUUACAUGGACCAUGCAGGCACAUCCGGACCUAAACAAGUGUGAAAGGAAAAGAUUGUGCCGAAUUCUAGACUGCAAAAAAUUAUCUAUGGAGGCCUGCAUGCAUGCCGCAAGAAAUGAGUUACUCCCAUUAAGGGUGGUGGUCCAAGUUCUAUUCUUUGAGCAAGCUCGGGCCACAAUGGCCGGUGGCAAAAUGACUGAGCUGCCUAGCAACAUCAAGGCACUGCUAGCGGGGCAUGGCAUUGACCCGUCAAGGCCUCCACCGCCAUUAAGCACCACUAGUACCAUUCCAGGGGAUGAUCAAUGGAGCAUCCCAGGGCUUAAAUCUCCAAAAUCAAAGCUUUCAACUUUACGAAUGAAACUAGCUGAAGAUGAUGAAUUAGAUGAAAAUGAUUUGCACCCAGAUGGAAUGGGAAGAACUUCCAAAUUUAAGGCUUUCUGUGCUCUUCCUGCACGACCCAAAAAAAUGUUCAGUAAGUUGUUAUCAAUCAAUAGAAGUUCCAGUGAAAAGAAUUGAGUGACUUAUGCUUGUUUUCGAGUUGGGGCUGGUAGGGUAACUAAUACUCUUGUUUUUUGUACUUUAAGAAAUGGCCUUGUAAUUUUUAGCUUAAAAACAAAGAAUAUCAAAGUGCAUUGUCGAUGUAACCUGUUAGAUUACUGUCUCAAAUUCCUUGUGUUAUUUGGACUACUCAUCUGCCAUUGGAGAAUAAGAUUAUAAUUUUCAGAACGUGAGAGGAAAUUCUGUGUGUGAUGUGAAUGGAUCUCAAUUCUGAAACUUGAGAAUAGUUGCAACCGAGUCACUGUGGGACCACAAGUGGCAUUUGUCUAGAAAUCUGCAACACCUGAUUCUGUCACUUUGUUGCAGAUUAUUGGAUCCUCAGAUGAUAAAAAAAGUCAUUGGUAAUUUGGGUUUCUGACAGUUUGCAGCGCUGUGAUACUGGAAAGCUUUUUGUCUUGUGCCUUUGUCUUGAGGUAAUCAUUUCAGCUGCCUUGUAAAUUCCAUCGAAUUAUGAGCAAAUUAGGCCUUGGCGUUUGGGCAGAUCAGAGAUCUGCUGAUUCUGACUUCUGGGUGGCUGGAAAAUUCUUUUGUCACCCAUGAUUGUGCCAAUCUUGUCAGCAAAGAAAAUGAUAAUGGUAUCAAAAUGCGACAUCUGAAAAAUACAGAUAUACAGAAGUUUAACACAUGCUGGUAUGGCAAGUCAUUCCAUUUAUUAUCAUAAUUAUGCACCAUCAAAAAUAAACUGGAACUGGAAAUGCUGAUUUGCUAAAAAGUUUAGGCAACUUCACUUAGAAUAACCGAUCCAUCAAGUUGGACACUUCUGAUGUGUUUACAACCAUAAGGGUCAACUAUUAUAUCUUUGUUCCAUAUUCUUUGGUACUUUUGAGAGGAAUAUUCCUAUAGAAUAUGGUGACUCCUUUUAAAUUUCUUCACUUAGCUUUCGUUCUGUUUAGAAUGAUUUACAUAUACGGUUGAAUUUUGAAGCAUUGAUGAAGACAUUUUACUGCUGUGUUCGCUUGAAUUUUGAUACAACUCGGUGCAGUCUGAAACAUAAUGUCGUCAUUAUUUGUUUUAAUGGAAAGUACGCAUAGGCGUGAGCUGAGUCCUUCAACAUAUAUAGGUUAGUUACUCAGCAUAGUCAGCGACUCAUCAUAGGCUUUCGCUUUUGACUGUAAAGUUAGAACUAUCUUCUAGCAGCUGCAAGGAUUUUUUUUUGCAAUAUUCAACUCCAUUUACACCUCCAACUUUUCCCUCAAAUCCUUACUGCUAAAAAUAAUAAUGUUAGAUUUCUCUUAACAUUUAAAUCUUAAUUUAAGUCCCAAUUAAUAUGGUAUUUAUUUAUUUAAUAGUGAUUAAAUAAUCUUAUAAACUAUGAACUUUUAAAUAAUCUUAUAAACUAUGAAUUUAUCAUCCAAUAGAUGAGUGACACGUAACAUUGAAGUUUAAAUUAGACGUUAAAUAUUGGGAUUUUAACAUUAUUAUUUGUUUUAUUUUCAAUUUUUUUUAAAGUAAUCUCAAAUUUAUGUCGUUAAAUCGUAUCCAAGUACUAUACAUUUCCAAUAUCUAUGACUAAAUUAUCUCUAAUCAGACAUUAGUGGCCAUUUAUCAUUUGCAGGUGUCGGGUCUAAACUUGUGGUAGCUCAAAUAUUAUCAUGUCAAUCAAUUUUUAACAUCAUUGAAGAAAUAAAAUUGCCUGGAUCAUCUUAGAUCUUAGAUCCUAUUGGAUUUAUACGGCUGACAGCUGAGUCCAAGGUUUGUUUGGUAUUGUGAUUGGAAAAAGUUGUCGUAUGUUAAUUUUAUUGUAUUCUUAUAUCAUGAAAAAAAAUAAUUUUUUUUAUUUUUUCAAAAUUAUUAUUUAAAAAUCAUAUUUACCCCAUAAUACAGCUAUUAUGUCACUUCAUUUUAGUAUCAAAUAGGGCCUAAUUAUCAAGGAAAUCUUCCCAUGAAAGAUAUACUAAUUAAGCCAAGACAUGUUUACUUGCAAUUCUUCUUCUGCCUUACAAGAUCCUAAGAUUAGUACCUUCGUUAGCUGCACCUAAUGAACAGGGCUUAACCAGACAGCCGGUUAGUUAUACUAUAUUUACACCCCGAAAAAAACUGAUAAUUACCUUCAAGCAAUUGAUUACAUUACAUCGCACAAGCAGUGUUACAACUUACACGCAUUCAUAAAACGGAGUAGAAUUAAUAGAAGAUAUUAACAGGAUUAAAGCAGAAACUAUAGAACAUCAUCAUACAGAAGCAAUGUAACAAAGAUAUGAGAAGCAGGGUGAUUAACGAUCAGAUUUGACAUAUAUACAGAACAUAAUAUCGUAAAAACAAUCACUGAGCCUCAAUGGUGUUUGCAUUACUGGUAGCAUCAGCCUUAGAGGUGGAGUCUUUCGAGUCAAUGCUUUUAGUCCGCUGGAGACUCGGGGCCCGGUGAAGCCUGCACCUGAAGGAACCUGCAUGUGUGGUAGGCGAGCAUAAGCAAAUAAAGCAAUUGCUCUUGGCUGAACUUGGUUGUCUUGUUAGCCCCGAUGUUGGAGAUACCAUUUCAGUUUCUUGUGGAGUCUCCACCUUCAUAUAAUUUUUGUUGCUCAUAUGUUCGCUAUCCAUUCAAUUUUCUUCCCUUAAACUUUCCCCCCCUGCAAGAGCUAAUUCACGGAUCAUGUUGUGUACCCACAAAAUGCAAAACGAAACAAUAAUAGUUUGUAAUUCGAUUAGAAAUUGUUACCUUUGGACUUUGGUGAUGUUCUUGAUUGACCCAGAAAGCACACCACAAAAAUGAAGAUCAAGUAAGAGAAAGAGAUGACAUUGGGAAUGGCUAAAAAUGACAAUAUGCUUUAUCUAUUUCUCUAUCACGGGAAUAAUAAUCGAUUCCAUUAACGUCCCACCUAGAUAUAUCACUUUUGUUGUGAAUGCCUCAACCACUCCCCCCAAUUAGAGAAACCCAUCAUAUCAAUAUGACCCCAUUACGUUUUGUAUAAUUUGAUCUCUUCUUUUUGGGCAUGCACUUGAAUCAUGAGGUGCCAUACCAUGCUUGUGAAAAAUCUUUAAAA